GACAUGGAGGGUAUGGCACGGACAUGGAGGAUAUGGCCACGGCCACCGCGGCAAAGGGGGACCUGGUGUUGCUGAGACGAAAAUCAAGAAUUAGAUAACCUGUUAGUUUCUGUAACGACCCGGUCCUAAAUAAAUGUUUAAUUAUUAAUUAAACAUGAUAAAAGACCAUUUGCCCCUAGAAUAUUUUAUUAGGUUUAAAGUUGACUUUUUGACUGAGAAGAGAUUUGAGAAUUCCUACUGUACUGGUGCGUAGGGCAUGGCGAGAUGAGUUCAUAGACACGUGGUGGGUUUGAAUCGGAGUUGUAACAAGAGAGAUACGAUCAAAAUACCCUCAGUGGCAUAACUAUAAUUUUGGAGAAAAGGGUUUGAUAAAAAUUUGGCUUCUCUCUCUCUCUCUCUCUCUCUCUCUCUCUCUCUCUCUCUCCCCCGCAAGUAAAACCCCCAUUCGUUUUCUGCAUAGCCGGUGGCUUCUAAAAGCCACUGCCGCCACCACCGUACACGACCGGCCUCGAGACCGAUCUUGUUUGAACCGUCGCUUCUCCCCCUUCCUUUCCUGACCAGCCCCGCCCCUGGAACCGGCAGAUUCCGUCGGAAAAAGCUCGGAAUCGAGCUGGAUUUGACAGAAACUUCGUCGGCUUUGUUCGCCGUCGUUCGACCACCAUUUCCGACGAUCUAGGUAUGGAUUUUGAACCUCUCGAGCUGUUCUUGCUGCUUGUUGUUUUAGAUUUGAGAGAUUUCUGCGUUUUGAAGGUCGAUUAAGCGAUGGAAGUUUGGCCGAUUUUCGGCUUCCGAUUCCGGCCACUUCCGGUCACUUUUUGGGGUAGGUCCAAGAACAAAAGUGGUUCCAAAUAGGGUGUUAUACCUAGGAUAGGAGUCUUGAGCCGUGGUUUUGAGAUUUUUCGGCGAUGCGUAAUCGCUUUGGACACCCACGCGUUGUCGGCGUGUGUGGCGGCGCGUGGGCACUGUAGAAAAGGGGCAUUGUGUCCCGAUGCAAUCCCCUUGUUGUCUCGAGUGCUUCAGUGUGCUCGAAUUUCAAUUUGGUUGACGUUUGAACCCUAAACGGAUUUCGCCUAUUGUGCAUUAUCAGGGUUCGAUAGGUUUGAACCGUUGGAUCGUCUUGAAUUCAAUAUAUGUUAAUCUAGGAAUUUCUAGGAUCGUGUAGGAAUUCAUGGAUCGUGAAUCGGAGCCCGGAUGUUCCGAUUUAAUAACUUAAAGUUUAUGUUUUACAAGAACCGUCUGAUUGUUCGAUCACGAGUGAGCCGACCGUUCGCUCGGGACCAAACUUACGGGACGUGUAUCCUGAACCUUGUAGAACCCAUAGUAACUUUCAGAUCAGAAUUUGGAGGUCGUGGGCCCUGUGGGCCCGUUUAACCAAGUUGGGGUAGUUGGAUACCUCGGUUGACCGUUAGUCUUACAAAGUAGUUUCACCCUUCGGAAGGUAUUAAGAUAACCUUUUUAUUGAAUCUUAAUUGUUAUUUGAGGUUAAAUUGGAAAUUGAUUCGAUUUAGGAUUUUCUUUAGAGGUUGUUGCUUAUCAUUAAUUAAUAUUAUUUGAUUAUAAAUAAAGUAUAAUGUUCUAGUUGUGUAAUACAGUAUUUUAUGGAAUUUGUGUGAAAACAAGCGUUGAAUAAUAUUUAAAUUGUUCUAGGAUCUUUAUGAAAUUUAGGUUUAUGUGCAUUAUCAUUGGUUAAAAAAAUAAUAUUAUUUUUCUGAUUAAAUUACGUUGCAGUCUACUAUAGACUGGUAUCACUAAAUUGGGAAUACCUCUAUUAUUAGUUUAGAUAAUUGAGAGUAUGUCAGUUUGAAAUACUAUACGCACUACCUUAUGUACCUCCUCGGAUAUUGAUUACACUGUAAGCACUAUUCUGUGAUUGUUAAGUCCCACGUGGAGUAGGUUAUCCAGCGUGAGGACAGACCUCAAACGUGGCGUUGAAUGUUCCGGCGUAUAGGGGAGAUUAUGUGAUGGUUAGGUCACACGUGGCGUAGGUUAUCCGGUGUGUUGAUAGACCCCUUACGUGGCGUUGGAUGUUCCGGUGUAUGGAGAGAUUUUGUGUUUGUUAGGUCCCACGUGGCGUAGGUUAUCUGGCGUGAGGACAGACCCCAUAUGUGGCGUUGGAUGUUCCGGCAUAUGGGGGAGAUUAUGUGAUGGUUAGGUCACACGUGGCGUAGGUUAUCCGGUGUGUUGACAGACCUCAUACGCAGCGUUGGAUGUUCCGGGGUAUGGGGAGAUUUUGUGAUUGUUAGGUCCUAGGUUGCGUAGGUUAUCCGGUGUGAGGACAAACUCCAUACGUGGCGUUGGAUGUUCCGGCGUAUGGGGAGAUUUUGUGAUUACCAGGGAGAUGAAUAAAGGAUUGUUAUGUUAUAUUGGGAAAGACAUGUUUGUUGAAAGAACUACGUGUGACUUGAUCCCUUAGUAAGGGUACGUAGGCAACCUAGGGUAAAGCAUAGGUGCAGCCGCGGGCUAAACUUUACUUAUGUUGUUUUAGUGAGUGGGGUGUUGAAUUUGUAGUUGGUCUUGAAAUUCGUAUGGAAAUGAGACUUGAUUAAAAAAGUUAUUCUAUGUUGAUUACAGUAGGCGUUCAUAAAUAAGUUUGAGUUGGUUAUAUACUUUGUUUAAUGCAUUAAUUUGCUUCAAGAGCAUUGCUGGCGGUUCUGUUUCGAGUUAUUUGAAGGCCGGAGGCCGAUUAUGUGAAUUGCAUGAAAUUAUCUUGUGUAUGCUGCCAGUUGUGGAUAUUAAAUGUGUUUUAUGCAGGUUGAAAUUUUUGGGAUUGUUCAAAUUACAGGGGAGACUCUGCCAAAAUUUCGGCAGAAAGUCUCGGGCCCUUAUUCCUUUUGGGAAAAAAGGAUAUAGUUUUAGAAGUGAGCCCGACAUCGGGAUGAUGUCAGGAAUUUUCACAGGAUUCGUCUCGGGUUUCGGGAAAUUCGAGGCAGGUCCUGUCAUUUUGUGACUUACGUUGCAGGUGGUUGUAAGGGUAGCCGUACGAAAUAAAGUUAUUUGGUUGAGUAAUCUAUAUGAACUCUCAAUCAUAUACUCGUCUUAAGCUUGUUCUCGUGUUCUCUGUAAUGUACGCAUUGGAAUGUGUUCUCUUGUUAUGUGAUAAAAUGUGAUGUAACUUGCUCAAUACAUAUUAUGUCAAAAAUGUUUAGUAUGGCUAGGCUCCUUAAAAUUGAGGGGGAGCACAUCCUCACAACAAAUGAGAUUUUGGCACUAGUUAAACUUCAAAAAAAAUAUAAAUAAAUAAAAGAGGUUAAAAGAAUUCAAAUGAAAAAAAAUUAAAGGAAUUUGCCAAGUGAGAAACUGCUGCUCAGUUUUGUGGAGCCAAACUUUUUCCUAAUAUUAAUGGAGUUCAUGUAUGACUCAUUUGUUUUGUGUACCAAAUUUAAUGAAUUGUGCAUUCAUUGGUGGACCCAUAAGAUAUAGUUUUUAAUUUAGGUGAGAUAUUCUCGGCAAUUUAAAUCAUGUCAAAAACAUGAUUUCAAAAAAAAAUCAGCCGUCAUCGAGUUUGUAGAUAAAUAAAUAAUAUAUAUGGAUGAACGUAAGCUAUAGAGAAGAACAUUACCAAGAGCUUUCGUGCUGAUAAUGUAUUGUGAAACUAGGAAUUUGUUGGGAGAAAUAAGAGGAAGAAAGAGAGUAUAAUUUGCUCGAAUAAACUUAUAUUCCAUUCAUAUUUGGUGCCACUACUUAUAGGGGUAGAGAGGCCUAAAUCAUUUACCACCAAUAAUUGGUAGGUGACAAAUAUAUAAUGAUGAGUGUUAUGAUAGGUUAAUAGUGGCUAUUAUUGUGAGCAUCCAUAACCUAUAAACCCAUAACGUAUGGAUUUAUAACACAAAUACGUUUAUUAAAUAAAAAAUAAUUAAAAGCUAAAAAGAAGAUAAGAGUCUAUGUCCAGCAAGAAUUCUAUAUAGAUUACUGUUGAGGCCCAAAAUGUCAUAAGAAGCUCAAGGAUAUUUAAAGUUCAAUAUAACAUAUAAUGUUGGCCAUGCGUUAAUCCAAGCUGUAUUUUGGGAAUUGAUUCAUUAAAUAAACAUAGAAAUAGUGUACAUGCCAUGCCAAUCAAAUAAUAUAUUUUUCUAUGCUAAACCACCUAACAAGCUUAAGUGGACCCAAGCCACAUAUAUGUUUGGGGCUUGCUGAGCGGAUUGUGGUGUGGAUGGUUACAAGUGUUCAUAAAGCUCGUUGAAGGAUCAAAUAGUGGAAAUUUUACGGCUGCUUGGGAGUACCAAAAUUCAUAUAUACCCACUUUCUUGAGCCUAAUUACACGAGUAAGCAGAGAGGGAACUCCCAGCCUCUUCCAAAACUCAAACCCACUUUCAUUACUAUGCACACAGUAAUUACUGCACACUCAUGGAGAGACCAAUUGUUGAGCACUGUCCAUUCAGGGAUCCUUCCUUACACAAUCAUUCUUCAGCCUAUAAAUAGACCUUCAUCCCUCCUUGCAAUACACACACCGAAACCAGAAGAAGAACGGCAGGAGGCAAGCUCAUCCUCCCACUGCCGUCUAGUAGCUAUGCUUGUAUCUGGUCUCGAUUUGCAUAUCUAUUAUUAGGUAAAAUACUUUGAAAAAGCACAAAUAGUUUGUGGACAUGAGCGAUAGAUACUGUGGCUAGAUUGUCAACAAUGACAGUGUGAACGACUUUUCUUCAUGGUGUGCUUUAGCUACAUCUUCUACCCUUCUGCGUUGGUCACAUUCAUGUAAUCUUGUACAUGAAGCAACGUACCACAAAGGCUAUCAAAACUUUAAUAACUGUGGACUAGAAGGAAGCAAUAUAUAGGUCCUACUACCUGUGCAUUUUUGCUUGACUAAUAGUUUGAUGCUUAAGGUAAAUCCAAUACAAUUAGUGUAAAUGUCCUUUUACUAUAUAAUUAGGUAUAUCCAAUACAAAAUAAAUCUUUAAUCUUGAACGUAUUUAUAUAGGGGAUUCUAUGACUCACAAAGAAAACCUACGGAUACAUUUGGGUUAUGUUUAAUCUCAUUUUCUCUUUUGUAAUUCCAUCUACUUUUUAUAAGAAUUUGUUUGAAACAACUUAUAUAUAAAAACUACCAUUGUUUUUAGAUGAUUAUUGUGGUAGGAUGAAAUCAACAAAAUAGACAAACAUGGUAUUUCAAGAAAAGACUAUAAUAACAACUAUCUAAUUGAAUGAUCAAAUGGUUUCGGAUCCAAGUGAUUAUCGCAGAGAUGAUCUUUGAAGAAAUAUCUAAAAACUAGAUGGUAUUGGAUUAUUGAAAUGCAUGGUGAGUCUUAUAAGGGUGUCCUUCAAAUAAGCUUAUUUGAGAAAUCCCUCAACUAAAGCCAUAUCAAUCUCCUUCUCACAAUAUAUAUAUACACACCACACCUUUUGUGAAAAUCUAAAAAUGCUAAAUUAGGAAUGAAAACUGACAGUUAAAGAACUCUCAUGAUCACUCUACAAGAUUGUGACCUGAAUGAUGAAUCAGCAGCUUAAGUUUUACCCAAUUUGCCACAUACCAUCAAAGUAGGGGUUGAUUUGGCGUUCUUUAGCCUUUAAUCACCACAAGAGUCACAAAUUCUUCUCUUCUGUCUCCUUAUCUUUCCAACCCCACUGAUAUCUCAGAAAGGUCUAUAAAUAGGGAGAACCAAGCCACAUUAUACUCACUCAGCAAUCAUCUCUUGCAUACUUUCAUAUAUACAUUAUCGUGCUUGUUGUUAAGCAAAACUUGGCAUCCUCAAAGGCUUGUCUUCUUCUUGGUCUUGUCUUUGCUGUUCUCUGUUGACGUGAAUCUCCUAAUUAAUGAAGGAGAUUUACUUCCUUGAUUAAUUAUGGGAUUUACUUUCCUAUUUUUUAUAUAGUUGAUAAAUCAUUGUAUAAUUAGGAGAUACUUUCUUAAUUCUUUACUGUAUCUAAUUCCUUGUAUAGCACCCCGUAAACUCUUAUAUAUACCUCUUUAUGGAGAAGAAUAAAGAUAACUGUUGUGAUAUUUAUUGCAAGCGCACAAUUCGCACAAGUAAUAUAGUGAUGAGUGAAGUGUCGUUCCCACGAAGAGUGAUUUAAUUUACCAAGUACCGAUUGUGAUUAACCCAAGACUUUAUUUGAACAAUUGAUGAUGAGAUUUGAUUGAUUAAUUAACUAAAACAAUGAAUAAAAACAAGCGUAGAAAAAUAAAGUAGUGAGAUUCAAGUUAUGAGAGCACUAGAGCUUCCGAUUUCACCAUAGCCAAUUCUACCCAAUUCCCUUAGCAUGUUAAUCCUAAUUAUUCUCUAUAUUGACAGUUGAUUUUCCCUACUUUAUUCGAUACUCCAUCCCUGGUUAUACCAAAAGGAUUCUUAUUACCAACCCACUCUAUCCCUAGUAAUGGAAUUAAGAUAAUAAGAACCCAUUAAAUUCCUUGGAAACCUACAAAACAACCACAUAAGUCAUGACAAACAUCCCUGUCUAAUCAUGUAACUCAUGGUAUCUAUUACAAGAAGCAACCCCAAAUUGGAUAUUCCUAUCAUCAAUUUAGCAUCAAAACAAUUAAAUGUUGGCCAAACAUUCAAAGCAUUAAGCAUGGUAAUAGAUACUCAACAUGGAAAAAUGCUUGGAAUUAACAUUGACUAAAGUAAUUGAGUAUUCAUGGCUAGGCUACAUCGUAGCCCUAGCAAGAAGAAAUUAGUUCAUGACAACUUUAAUAAAAACCAUGAUAAAUAAUAUCAUAGGAAAGAAGUAACCAAUUGAAGAUUUGAUCUCUGCACGACAGCAACUCUAGCUCCAGGUUGUCUUUUUUGUCUCUCUAAAACUCUCUCUCUCUCUCUCUCUCUCUCUCUCUCUCUCUCUCUCUCUCUCUCUCUCUCUCCUUUGAGUGUUUCGGCGAUGAGUAUGAAUGUGUAGGGAUUUUAGGGUAGAUGAUGGAGGAUGGAUGAUGGGUAAUGGAUCCUUUCAACAAUGACCUAAACUCCCUAUUUAUAAAACUCCUAGAAAUCCUACCUAAGGAAUAAUUACAAUUGUUAUAAAAAUAGGAUUCCUUCUAAAAUAAGGUCUUCUUUAUUUCUCCUUGUUUGACUUGAUAAGACUUGCACCAUCUUGAACUAGGAAAUUUGACAACAUUCCUUGCAACAAAAGGAAUGACUUGGCUUCUUUUUAAUUGAUCUUCAUCUUCUUGCCUUUUUUUAGCACACUUUCUCCUAUUUCACAAUUCCUUCACAAAUCUCACAAAACCAAUUAAAAACAACCAAUUUAAUCCAAGAAAUUAAUAAAUAAAUAAGCAAAGGAGGCAUAAAAUAUAUAUAUAAUAUAGACUUAUCAAUAACCUAAUACAUUCAAACCAUAUUCAUAUUUUAGCAUGGUAUCAGAGCAAUCGAUCCUCGGUUGUCUCUAAAUUCUCAUAUCAAAUUUUUCUUCAAACACAAACCAUAAAUCCUCAUAUCAAAUUUCUUCAAACACAAACCCUAAAUCCUCAUAUCAAAUUUCUUCACACCCAAACCCUAAAUCAAAUUCCUCAUAUUUAUAGCUUCAGAUUCAGAUCUUCAUACCCGAAUCCUCAUAUCCUCUUAUCACAAAACCCUAAACACAAAUUUUUUUCUCUUAUCACAAAAUCCUAAACACAUCUUUUUCCUCUUUUCUUAAAUCUUUCUGCUGCCAUGAAUAUUGUCUCAUCUUCCCAAACCACUGCCUCCACUUCCCCAUCCUCCAUAAUUGCCACAACAGGUUCCCACGGUUAUGUUUUGCAUAGUUCUUCAAAGAAACACAUAUGGGUCAUUGACACCGGAGCCACUGAUCAUAUAACCUUUGAUCCUGGAUAAAAUACCUCUCAUACCCCGUCUUCUCAAUCGGUGGUGUCUAAUACCAAUGGUACCCCCUCCCCAGUAAUUGGGGAGGGUUCCCUCUCUCUCUCUGACUCCCUCACUUUGGAUUCUGUAUUGAUUGUUCCAUCCUUACAUCAUAAUCUCUUAUAUGUUGCCCAAAUUACUACGGCUUUGAAUUGCAUUUUAACCUUUUGGCCUACUCAUUGUGUUUUUUAGGACAUUCUCAGCAGAAGAUGAUUGGUUGUGGUACUAGGACGGGCAAACUCUACUAUCUGGACUUGGCAUCUGACAGUGAAGCCAGCCUCAGUCAUGCUUACAAAAUUGGGGGUACGAGUGUUGAGAAGCAAACUUUCGGAGUAUGGUUAUGACAUCGCCGACUUGGACAUGCUUCAUUUGGAUAUUUACAGAAGCUAUUUUCUUCCUUAUUUUCCCAGUUAGAUAUCUUUAGUUUUAUGUGUAACAUCUGUGAAAUAGCCAAGAGCCAUCGUGUUUCUUUCCCUUUAAGUUCACAUAAAAGUUUGGUUCCUUUUUCGCUUGUUCAUUUUGAUGUUUGGGGCCCGCUAAAAUUACCACUCUUGGGGGAGCUAGAUGGUUUGUCGCGUUUAUCGAUGAUUGCACACGUAUGACCUGGGUUUCCCUUCUUCAAACAAAAGGGGAAGUCAGUUCCAAGUUUCAACAGUUCUAUCACAUGGUGGAGACAUAAUUUCAUACAAGAAUUCAAGUUCUUCGGUCUGACAAUGGUGGAGAAUUUCUCUACCAUAAUCUUACUCAAUUCUUACAAGAUCAUGACAUCAUACAUCAAUGCUCAUGCCCUUACACUCCCCAACAGAAUGGUGUGGCUGAACGAAAGAAUAAACACUUAUGGAAGUGGUUCGUGCCUCUCUCUUUGGUGCCAAUAGCCUCGGUCUUUUUGGGGAGAAGACGUCCUCUUUGCAGCAUACCUUAUCAAUCUGAUUCCCUCCAGUAUCCUUAAUUUCCAAACCCCCCUUCAAACACUCUACCACCAUAUCCAAAUACCUCAUACCAAAAACCUAGAACCACAGAUUUUUGGCUGUGUGGUCUUUGUCUUCUUACAUAAUCACUAAAACAAUAAAUUGAAUCUCCGCGCCAAAAAGUGUGUUUUUAUUGGUUACACACCUCAUCAGAAAGGUUACCGGUGUUAUGAUCCUCCUAGUCAGAAGGUCUAUACUUUUAUGGAGUUGUGUUCUGAGAACACGACAUAUAUUUUUCAGCCAUACAGGAGGAGCAUUGCGAUACCAACACAUCUCAAAUUUCAAGACUUUUCCUUUCAGAAUGGUCACAUACUGAAAACGACCAGUCGCAGAAUGCAAGUGACCGGUCGCCGAAGACUCUGCCUGAAAACGACCGGUCGCCUAAGACUCUGCCUGAAAGCGAUCGGUCGUCCCCCGGAAAUAUGAAUCUGCUUUAAAACGACCGGUUGUCUCCUUGUUGUCAAACUCAGGAGGAGAACAUUGAGGAGUUUUUGCCCGCUCAGGAGAAUUCUUCAACUCCAGUACCCCACCAAUCACCUGCUGAGGACGUCAUUCAGGUAACCUCUUUUCCUGAAACUAAUAAUAUUAAUGAAAUAUCCCAUGAUGAUUUAAUUUCAAAAGGCAUAUAGCCUACAUAUUAGAUUCCAAAACGGAAGAACGGUGGAAAACCUUCAGUUCACUACGAAGCAGACCUUAAUGCAAAAUGGAAAUAUCCCAUCAACAAUUAUGUAUCCAUCAGCAGAUUAUCAGAAUCACGGGUACACUUUGUGAAGCAGUUGGAUGACAUACCUGCUCCCAACAAUGUAACUGAAACACUAGAAGACUCAAAAUGGAAAGAAGCCAUGAAUGAAGAAAUGCGAGCUCUCCAGAAGAAUGACACAUGAGAAGUCGUGCCAUUACCUCACGGAAAGAAGACUGUCGGAUGCAGGUGGAUUUAUACUGUGAAACUAAAAGUAGAUGAAUCCAUUAAAAGAUAUAAAGCUAGAUUGGUGGCGAAAUGGUACACACAAAGAUAUGGGAUAGACUACCAUUAGACUUUUGCCCCAGUAGCCAAGAUUAAAACUAUCAGAGUUCUUCUAUCUUUAGUAGCAAAUCUAGAUUGGCCAUUACAUCAGUUUGUUGUAAAAAAUGCAUUCUUACAUGGAGACUUGGAAGAAGAAGUAUAUAUGGACUUGCCACCAGGAUGUAACUUAGCUCGUGACAAGGAGAAUCAAGUUUGCAAGCUCAGAAAGUCAUUGUAUGGGUUAAAGCAAUCCUCUAGGGCAUGGUUUGGCAGAUUCACUAAAUCUAUGAAGAAUUUUGGAUAUAUACAAAGUAAUGUAGAUCACACCUUGUUAUUGAAGCAUGAUGGAAGAAGACUUACUGCACUGAUUGUUUAUAUGGAUGACAUAGUCGUAACUGGAAACGACACAGAAAAGCAAUUGAAACUGCAGAAAUAUUUGUCUCAGGAAUUUGAGAUGAAGAAUCUAGGUGAUCUGAAGUACUUUCUAGGAAUUGAAGUAGCUAGGUCCACAACUAGUAUAUUUCUGUCUUAAAAGAAGUAUGUAUUAGAUCUGCUCACUGAAAUAGGAAUGCUUGGAUGCAAACCUGCUGAUACACCCAUCGAGAUGAAUCACAAGUUAUGUGAAGACAUGGAUCAAGAACCAACCAAUAAGGAACAGUACCAACACCUUGUUGGAAGGUUGAUAUAUUUAGCUCACACAAGACCAGAUAUUGCAUAUGCUGUGAGUAUGGUUAGUCAGUUUAUGAAUUCACCCAGUGUGUCCCAUAGGAAUGCAGUUGAUCGGAUCUUAAGAUACUUAAAGUCAGCACAUGGAAAAAGGGUUAACAUUCUAAAAAAAUAGAGAUCUCAAAGUUGUUGGAUAUACAAAUGCUGAUUGGGCUGGCUCCGUUACUGACAGACGCUCUACUUCAGGUUACUUCACUUGUGGGAGGUAACCUAGUCACUUGGCGGAGUGAAAAACAAAAUGUGGUUUCUCGAUCUAGUGCUGAAGUAGAGUAUUGAGGAAUGGCUCACGGAGUUUGUGAAUUACUAUGGAUCAGAAGACUAUUGACAGAAUUGGGGUUUAAGCCAGGAAAGCCAAUGGAGUUACAUUGUGAUAACAAGUCAGCCAUCGAUAUUGCCCAUAGUCCAAUUCAACAUGAUCGAACUAAACAUGUUGAGGUGGAUAGACAUUUUAUCAAAGAAAAACUUGAGAAGAAGAUCAUCCGCCUACCGUUGGUAAAAUUAGAAGAUUAGUUGGCAAAUAUCUUAACCAAAGCUGUUUGUGGAAGAGUAUUUUCUGACUCACGUACCAAGUUGGGCAUUGGUGACAUAUAUGCACCAACUUGAGGAGGAGUGUCGACUUGAGUCUCCUAAUUAAUCAAGGAGGUUUACUUCCUUGAUUAAUUAAGGGAUUUACUUUCCUAUUUUUUAUAUAGUUGAUAAAUCAUUGUAUAAUUAGAAGAUACUUGCCUAAUUCUUUACUGUAUCUAAUUCCUUGUAUAGCACCCUGUAAACUCUUAUAUAUACCUCAUUAUGGAGAAGAAUAAAGUUAACCUAAUACAUUCAAAUCAUAUUCAUAUUUUAGCAUUCUCCUCAUCUCCUCUGAGGUCUCAACUACUCCAACUCGUGAGUUUCUCACUUUAAAUUAGUAAUUGUAUAUAUUAAAUUAGUAAUUGUAUCUUUCUUUCCAGUAACGAUUUGUAAAUUUAGGCACAUUUUAAUUAUAAGGUGCACUGGUCUUGAAAAUGAUUAUGCUUCGAACUCUUUUUCUACAUGAAGGGCUAGUGGUUGCACCUGCAUGGCUUAAUUUGCACCUUAUGAAAUACAAACCUAGCUAUGAUUGUUAUAAGUUAUGUAUAUUGAUUUUGCUUUAUAUAUAAAGUUUUUGUUUGUUCUCUCAGAGGAGAGUAUAGUGGUGGCGGAGCCACUUCUAGGCCAGGAGCGGCCCUGGUCCCUCUAUUUUUUUGACUUCUCUCCUAUACUAUAUAAUGUAAUAUAUACAACUUACUAAUAGACAACUUGUAAUUUAAAUUAAUGGCCCCUUUAAAAAUAAUUAGGCAUGACUAAUUUUGAAAAUUUUAGCUCUAACAUGUGUUUUGAACACUUAUAUGUAUUUGAUAUACUUGUGUUUUCUAUCUUAGCCCCCUCAAUCUUAAAUUUCUAGCUUCACCCGGUGAUGAUUUUCUAGAUGACCAUGGUGAUGGACGUGGAGGGUAUGGCCACAGACAUGGAGGGUAUGGCCACAGACAUGGAGGGUAUGGCCAUGGCCACCACGGCAAAGGGGGGCCUUGUGCUGCUAAGACUAAAACCAAGAAUUUGAUAACCUGUUAGUUUCUGUGACUUACGUUGCAGGUGUGUUGUAAGGGUAGUAGUACAAAAUAAAGUUGUUUGGUUGAGUAAUCUGUAUGAACUCUCAAUCAUAGACUCGACUCGUCUUAAGCUUGUUCUCGUGUUCUCUAUAAUGUACGCAUUGGAAUGUGUUCUCUUGUUAUGUGAUAAAAUGUGAUUUAACAUAUUAUGUCAAAAAUGUUUAGUAUGGCUUGGCUCCUUAAAAUUGAGGGGGAGCACAUCCUCACAACAAACGAGAUUUUGGCACUAGUUAAACUUCACAAAAAUUAAAAAAAAAAAAAAAAAAAGAGGUUAAAAGAACUCAAAAGAAAAAUAAAAUUAAAGGAAUUUGCCAAGUGCCAAAACUCUAUUUGUUUUGAGGAGGAACUACUCCUCAGUUUUAUGGAGCCAAACUUUUUCCUAAUAUUAAUGGAGUUCAUAUAUGACUCAUUUGUUUUGUGUGAUCACCAUUUGGUUAAUGAAUUGUGCACAAAAUUUAAUAGGAUACGGAUCAUCUGCUAUGAUUUUAGUCCUCUAAUAGGAUGGAUCCUACUUUGGAGCACAUGUGGUAUUGGUAGUUCCUACUCGCAUUUACAAAUACAUAUUGGUUGGUCCAUUAAAAUGCAAAUAUCACCUCUCAUAUCAUUAUGCGAACAUUGGGAACAAGAGUAGUGUUUCCACCGUUGACAAGGGAUUGGAAGAUCUAGCUCGACGGAAAAAUAAGGAGUAAAACUUAUAGAAGCAUGCAUGCCGUGUAUGUAUUGUUGUUAUCAUGGCGAUACUAAUUUGGCAAUUAAUUUUCUAAUGGGUGAAUUAAAAAAACAUUUUUAAUCUAUAUAUGUAAAGUUAAAUAUCCUUAUGGUUAAAUUUUAAAAUAACCCAUUUAAGAAAAAUUUCAAAACUCAAGUAUUAAUUCAUUUUGAAGGGACAGAUACAUUUAUUUAAAAAAUAAUAAUGAAAAGGAGAUAAGAAUUUAUGACCAACAAGAAUUCUAUAUAGAUUACUGUUGAGGCCCAAAAUUAAUGUCAUGAGAAGUCCAAGGAUAUUUAAAGCCCAAUAUACAAUAUAAUAUUGGCUACGCGUUAAUCUAAAUUGUAUUUUGGGAAGUUAUUCAUUAAAUAAAUAUAGAAAUAUUGUACAUGUCAUGCCAAGCAAAAUACAUUUUCCUAUGCUAAACCACCUGACAAGCUUAAGUGGACCCAAACUACAUAUAUGUAUGGGGAUUUCUGAGUGGGUUGUGGUAUGGAUAGUUAUAAGUGUUCAUAAAACCCGUUGAAGGACCAGACAAUGGAAGUUUUAGAGCUGCUUGGGAGUACAAAACUCAGACCCACUUUCCUGAGCCUAAUUACAUGGGUAAGUAGAGACAGAACUCCCAGCCUCUUCCAAAACUCAAACCCACUUUACUGCACACUCAUGGAAAAACCAACUGUUGAGCACUGUACAUCCCUCCUUGCAAUACACACAACGAAACCAGAAGAAGAACGGCAUGAGGCAAGCUCAUCCCCCAACUGCCGUAAACACACAAAGCCCAAGCCUUCCUCCAUUCUCUUCUUUCAUAACACCACUCCAAGCCCUGAACAUCACACGGAAAACCAUCCCAAAACAUCCCAACUCCCGAAAACACCACAUGCAUCUCACCUUCAACAUAUCUUAUUCCAAUCCAAGCAGCAAAAGCACUCUCUCUUACUAAAGCCUUCUACCUUUGAAGCAUGAGUAUAUAGAUAUAUAAAAAGGUAGAAGAGUACAGUAUUUGUACUGUAUUGACCCUUUGUUUGUCCAGGCGGUCUGAUAGAUGUUUUGAUAUGUAAGAUAACGAUCCAGAUUGAGCGCUAACUUAUCCAGGGUCGAUGAGGCCAACAAAGUUUACGAUAUUUGCCAUUUUUAAAUAGUCAAAUAGGUACCUAAAAAUAUGAAAUUCAAUUAAAUGAAAUUUUAAUUUAAAAGAAAGGGAAUUGUAAAAAAAUUGGAUGUUUAGAAUUACCUUAUGUAUACUGCAAUCACUGUGGAUCUGAUCUCAAUCAUGGAUGCAAGCUAUAAAAUAUCUUCAUACAAGAUGAAGGUAUCAUGCUCAUACCCAAACACUUCCCCUGGAAUGUUAACUCUCACGGUCUCGUUCGAAGGCAACUUGGUUUGGAAAAAUUGGCAUAGGGCUAAUAGAGGAGACAGCAAAUCCAGCUUUGAGAAAUCCUGAUUCAAUAAAUAAAGAAAGAACUAUAAGAUAGCUUGCAAAAAAGUAAAAUAAAUGACUCUAACUAAACCAUCCAAACCGUCGUGGUAUUAAAAUAUUAACGACGGUGAUUUGAAAAUACUGACGUAGUAAAGAAUCGAAACGACGGUAAAAAUAAACCGCCUUUGUGUCAACGUUCUAACGUCGCAAAACUAGAAAAAGGUCGUCUAGAAUAAAAUGCAGUGAAGAUGGCUUGUAAAACAAGUAAAACAAAUGACGCUGUUUUGGUUAUUGUUAAUACUUAGAAAGGCAGACAUUUGUAAGCUGGUAGAGAAAAGGAUCACAUACCACCAAGCUUGUUACGGCUGUUCUUUAUACAUAUUCUGUUUAUCUGUUCUAUUUGUACUUGUGAUGCAGGGCUUUUUGUUUCUGUUCCUCUUGUCACAAAGAAUUUUUAUUUUAUUUUUGUUUAAGAUAUUAUGUUAUUAUGUUCUUUAAGACAACUUACGCGGCUACGGUGUUCAUUGUUGUCAAGAAAAAUUAAUGGUCAUGACCGUUAGAAGUCAGACCAUUGAAAUCCAUCCUUUUUAUUUAUUUAUUUAUAUUUAUAAAUGUGGUCACAAUUUUUUUUUUUUUUAUAACACAAAGGCGAUAGUGUUUUAUUAAUUAAUGAGGAGAAAAGGGUAACAAGUACAAAAAAAUCAGACAAAGACCUAGCGGAUUAGGCGAGUACUCUACACCAAUUCAUGUUUUCACAAGCACUUUUUAAAUGUUUUCACAAUCUUAUCAGAAAUCUUGUCAUAUAUGGAAUAUUGUCUCUAAAUAGUAAUUUAAUUAAAUUAAACAAUACAUAGUUGUGGAAUGUAUGAGUGUUGUACCAUAGUUUUUCUCAAAAUAAUAAAAUAUGAAGGAUCAUAAAACUUAGCCUUAUAUGGUUGGAGAUGGAAAAAUUUAGCCAUGCACUAUUCUUUAAAAAAUUAAUAUUUUGGACGGCUAAAUUUUUAGCCCUGGACUACAUUUGGCCCUAUGACUGGAGAUGGCCUUAGAAUCCAUACACAAGUUUAACAUACACAUAUCCUUUUCACUUAAGUUUAACAUACAUGCUAAUGGGGGCUAACUCAGUGGAAAAUGACAUUGAUUUACAGACUAGAGGUCUUAGGUUCGAACCCCCAUAGCAUCUUAGUUGUGUGUGUAAGUUUAAACCAACGCUUGUAUUAAAAAAAAAAAAAUUUAAAAUACACAACCUAUUGUUGAUGAAAAAUUAGAAUCCAUUAAAAGGUCAUGUAUUAAAAGAAGUACCAUUUCUAUAAAAUAAUAAUAAUAAUAAUAAUUUAAUUCUUUUCAGUUAAAUUUUCCAAAAAUUAUAGUAGUUUUCUCUAUCACAUACCUAAGUCAAAAGUAAUGGAUAAUUUGAAUAUCUUUAUUAAGUAAAGCCCAAACAUAUCUUAGAAAUCGACAGUACACACUCAUUAUUUGAAUUUUGAAACACGGACUUAUCAAACCCAGUAAGGCCCUCCCAUAAGAAGCAAAACAAGCUCUAGUUCUUUCUUCUUUCUCAUACGUACAAUCCGGACUCAGGCAUGGUGGUGCCGGAUCAAUGAAAUAAAAGCAACACUAUCUUUCAUGACUUUUCCAACAUGUGUGAAGCCAUCUUCUUUUUUGUAGACGAGAUCCACCAUUCUUGUUAAAUUAAGAACAAGUACAAGGACAGGCAUUGGCACAGAGGUUGGCCUGAGGAACUCCUCGUUGAUAUCUUUCCACGAAUCCACAAUCUGUUUGUGGAACUCCUCUCUGCAGCUUAACUUAUAAAUGGGAUUCCCUAAAGUAUCUCGAAUUUCCAAAUUCCAAUUCAAACUCUUCACCACCAUCUCCAAAUACCUCCACCUCAAACCUUGAACCGCAGAUUUUCGGCUGUGUUGUAUUCGUACACUUACAUGAUCACCAACGCAACAAAUUGGAUCCGAGUGUAGAAAAGUGUGUUUUCAUUGGCUAUGCCCCAUAUCAGAAAGGUUAUCGAUGUUAUCACCCUCCAAGUCAGAAGGUCUAUACCUCCAUGAAUGUAGUGUUCUAGGAACACGAUAUAUAUUUAUCAGAAGCACAUGAGGAGAAUCUAGACCCAAAUACCCUGAAUUUUCUGGACUUUUUAACAACGGAAGAGACUCAGCAUCAAAGCAAUCGGUUGCCUUUCCAAAACGACCUGUCGCCUCCCUUUGAUAGUGCAAAAGAGGCGUCUCUACCUCAAAGUGACCGGUCGCCUCUCCCACACAACUGGUCGGCCCCCUAUAUUCCUUCACAAGCGGAGCCACUAGUCAAAACAACCGGUUGCUUUGCCCAAACAAUUAUCGAUUGGUAUGCUCUAUGUAUGUUAUUGUUUGGUAUAAUUCAUAUAUGACAGUUGACUAGUCAUAAGAGUAUUUGGUUAAGAUCUAGAGUGUGUGAAAUUUGUUGCGUUCUUGGUUGAAUAUCUUUUAAGUUUACCCCUCGUCACCUAAGUACCAAUUUCAAAACCAUAUGUAUAUUUUAGCAUAUUUUGCAUUUGGACCAGUAGCCACAUAACAUGAAGAGAAAUUAAUGGAGGAACAUCCACAACGAAAAGCAUCAAUUAAUUUAUUGAAUCUGAGGGGUACAGUUGUUUCUUCCCAACUUUUUGAACAAGAAUUGCAUAUUAAUUCAGUUAUGUAAAAGGUUGCAGGUUGGUGAGUCUGUGUAACGGUGGACAAGAUAUAAUGGGUGAAAAGUACGUAGAUUAUUCAUCAAUUGGUAAGAGGAAAUAUUUAAGCCAAUCAACUCAUCAAAUGUUAUUUUAUUCUACUAUUUUAUACUUAGGACACCUCAUCAACUCAUAUAUAGCAGCCCUUGAUACAUUAAAAAAAAAAAACAAAUAAAAAUACCACUUCAGCAGGCAUGGGUUAGGCCGGUUAACAGUGAGUCUGUCCCUUUACACUUAAGUUUGAAUUCUCCUUUUAUAAUUUAGAUUAAUUUAGAGUACUUUAAACUAUUACUUAUAUAUUUAUAUAUAUUAAAAAAAAUGUCAUUUGAUUCAGUUUUUAUACAUAAAAUAAAAUUAUGGACUCAUAGCAGCCCUUGGUACAUUAAAAAAAAGAUUAAACAAAAAAACAGCAGCCCACUAAUAGACGUUCCACUAUAAAUAGCACAAUACAACACCUCUUCAACUCAUAGCAGCUCUUGAUACAUUCAAUUAAGAGCACAUUGAUCAUUUCCUCGCACUUAGGAAUAAAAUGUCUGCUCAAGUUUUAGCUGCAUCCCAAGCUCAAAGCCCAAAUGCGAUUCCUGAUCAUUUUAAGCGAUGUUCAGCUAAUUUCUCUCCCAGUACUUAGGGCGAUUAUUUUCUGUCAUAUGCUUCUGUGGUAGGAAAUUAAUUAAUCCUAACAAUUAUUUAUGGGCUAAUAAUACUCAUCAUGUGCUAUAGCUGCGUCGUAUAUUUUGAAUAUUUUAUUAUUAUAAAUUAAUUUUGAUAACUUCCAUGCACCAUGAAUGAAGGUCAUACUUUCCUUAAUAUCCUUUUCAAUUUGUUCGUGUAGGAAACAGAUAUCAAAGCAGAGCAAGAUGUCCAAGAACUGAAGGAAAAAGUGAAGGGGAUGAUAAUGGCUCCAAUGCUUAAAAAUCCAUCAAAAAAAUUGGAGUUAAUUGAUGAGAUUCAGCGGUCUGGUGUCUCCCUCCAUUUCGAAAAUGAGGUUGAGGAAGUUUUGCAACAAAUUCACAAGAACUCUUACGGCGGUGAUGAAGAAAAUGAUUUUGACCUUUUCACAAUUGCUCUCCGUUUCCGGUUGCUUAGACAGCAAGGUUACAAGGUUUCAUGCGGUUAGUCCUCUCUCUCUCCCCGCGCUCAUAUGUUUUGUUUUAUAAUUCUAGAUUAAUUAAUUUUCUUCUUCUAUAAUUUUCUUCUUCUAUAUCUCUCUCUCCUCGCUCACAUGUUUUGUUUUAUCAUUCUAGAUUAAUUAAUUUUCUUCUUCUAAGCUAGCAGACAUUUUCAACAAGUUCAAGGACGAUGACGGGAAAUUUAAGGAAACACUUGUGGAUGAUGUAGUAGGACUGUUGAGCUUGUACGAAGCCACACAUCUUAGGAUGCAUGGAGAGGAUUUACUGGAUGAGGCGCUCACCUUCACCACAACUCAUCUUGAGUCAGUGGAAGCACACCGUUUAAGCCCCUUGCUUGCAAAACAAGUAACCCAUGCCUUGUAUCAACCAUUCUGGAAGGGCUGCCAAAGGCUAGAAGCAAGGCGUUACUUGGCUAUCUUUGAGGAGGAACCUCAUCCAGCAAAUGAAACUCUCCUAACUUUGGUAAAGUUGGAUAUAAACCUAGUGCAGCAAGUCCAUCAGAAAGAACUAAGUGAAAUUUCAAGGUUAAUUAAUAUACAUACAUAUAUAUUAGUGUUCAUCAGUAUACUAAUUAAGUUAUUAUUAUGUAAUUAAAUGAUAAAUUCAGGUGGUGGAAGGAUUUGGACUUUGUAAACAAGCUUCCUUUUGCAAGAGACAGAGUAGUUGAGUGCUACUUUGGGGCUCUGGGAACCUAUUUUGAGCCCCAAUAUUGCUUUGCUAGGACAUCAUUAAGCAAAGUUUUUGCUGUGACAGAAGCUAUUGAUGACAUUUAUGAUGUGUAUGGCACACAAGAGUAGCUAGAGCUCUUUACUGAAGCUGUUGAAAGGUGUAUUGAAAUCGAAACCCAAUUAAUUUAUAAGUUGUUUAGAUUAGUCAUUUAUCCUUCUCUAAAUACUGAAUAAGUCAUCACUAUAUCCAUCGGCGGUCCUGAGAAAUUGAGGGCCUUGUGUGAAACUUAAGCCCUCACAUAAUCUAAUAUAAAAAUACUAAAUUUUUUUUUGCCAUAACAUAAUGUUAUAAAACUAUUUUUUUAUAACUAAAAUUUAUCAUCAAUUAGCAUGUAAUAACAAAUACAAAUCAAUAAAUUCAUAAACUUUUUAAUGUUUUUCUUUGAUAAAAUUAAAUAUUAGUACAUUUGAUAAAAUAAAAAAAAAAGAGUUCAAGAGAAAGAAGAAUGAAUGAAUAUUAUAUCCAGUAGUCAAUUAUCCUUCUCUAAUUACUGAUUAAGUCAUCACUAGUCUAUAUCUUAUUAUUAACUUAUUUUAAUCAUCAGGUGGGACAUCUCAGCUUUGGACCAACUGCCGGAGAAUAUGAAAGUUUGUUAUGGAGCAAUGUUGGAUGUAUACACUGAAAUCGAAGAAAAGCUUGGAAAAGAGGGAAUUUAUAUCGCAUCCACUAUGCGAGAGAAGCACUAAGCCUCAUUAAUAUUUUUUAGAUUACAGAGUUGCAAGACCAUAAAUUAGUAUUCUAGUUAAUUUCCAAGUUUAUAUAUGCACAAAUAGUAGUUGAUAUCUUACAUUUCUUUGGGUCGGGCUUCAGACCUAUCUAGACAGAUUUGAGUGCGUGCUUGACUCAGUCUGAUCCAAAUAAAAAAAAAUGCCCGGGAAUGUAAGUUUUUUUUUUUUACUUUUUGGGUUGGAUGCUCUUAAUUCUAAUAAAAUAUAAAUUCUCAUGAUAUUAUUGCAUAGAAAGUAAUUAGAGAUCAUAUCUUGAUUUCGUAGAUGAAAUGAAUGGCUCCACCAGAAAUACACACAAUGGAUGAAUAUAUGGCAGUAGCACUUGGUACAUCCUACAUGAUGCUAUCAACCACGUCCUUCAUUGGAAUGGGAGAUAUUGUCACAAAAGAGUCCUUGGAUUGGGUUCUCAGUGACCCUAAGAUUGUGAACUCUUUAUCAAUACUUGGCAGACUCAUGGAUCACAUGAAGUCCCACAAGGUACAUAUUAACAUAAAUGCAACCUUUUCGUUUUUAUUUAUUUCCCCAUACCCCCUUUUAACCCUAAAUUCAUGUCUAUAUUGACGUAGUUUGAGCAAAAGAGAGGACAUAUUGCCUCAGCUGUGGAAUGCUACAUGAAAGAGUAUGGUGCCACAGAAGAAGAAACGAUAAUCGAACUCCAAAAACAAGUAAAUAAGGCAUGGAAGGACAUAAAUGAAGAGUGGAUCAACCUCAUCACCAUCCCUAUGCCACUACGAUUGAGAAUUCUGAAUUUUGCACGUACCAAUUGUAAUGACCCGGUCCUAAAUAAAUGUUUAAUUAUUAAUUAAACAUAAUAAAAGACCAUUUUGCCCCUAGAAUAUUUUAUUAGGUUUAAAUUGAAUUUUUGACCGGGGAGAAAUUUAGGAAUUUCGACUGUACCUUUGCAUAUAGCACAGUGAGAUGAGUUCAUAGACACGUAGCGGGCUCGAAUCGGAGUUGUAACAAGAGAGAUACGAUCAAAAUACCCUCAGUGGCACAAUCGUAAAUAUUGCAAAAAGGGUUUGAUAAAAUCUGGUUUCUCUCUCUCUUGAUAAAAUCUGGUUUCUCUCUCUCUCUCUCUCUCUCUCUCUCUCUCUCUCUCCUCCGCGCACUCUCUCUCUCCCCGAUAGCAGCCCCCUCUCUCUUUCUCUCUCUCUUCGAUUCUCUCAGCUCCGGCCACGGCAAGGGCCAGCACUGGUCCCAUUUGCUUCGUCUCGAUGCCACGGUCACAACCCGCCCCUUUUCUCGGACGGAGAGCUCGAGAUUUGCCGGCGAUAUCGACUGGUUUCUCUGGUUGUUCACGGCGUCGCUACGGCCAAUUCCGACAGCCAACUCCAGCAACCGAGGUACGAUUUCUCACCUAUUUUUCACGCUCUAGCUGCCUGUUGUGUAGGAAUUGCACGAUAUUCAUGUUUAGAAACUUGAUUUAGAAUUUAGGUUUUGGCCGAAUUUUCAAAGUGAAAUUUCAGCCACUUCCGUUGGUUUUUCAGGGUAUGUCCAAGAACAUAAAUGGUUCCAAAUAUGGUGUUACACCUAGGGUAGGACUCUUGAGCCGUGAUUCUGAGUUUUUCCGACAGUGGGUUAUCACUUUGGACACCCAUGUGCUGCCGGUGCGUGGGUACUGUAGAAAAGGGGCAUUGUGUCCCGAUGCGAUCCCUUUGUUGUCUCGAGGGCAUAGGUAUGAGUGAAUUUCAAUUUGGAUACCGUUUGAGUCUCGAACGGAUAUCGCAUAUUGUGCGUUAUCCGGGUUCAAUAGGUUUGAACUGUUGGAUAGUCCUGAAUUUAUAAUAUGUUAAUCUAGGCAUUUCAAGGAUUGUGUAGGAAUUCACGGAUCGUGAAUCGGAUCCCUGGAUGUUCCGAUUUAAUAACUUAAAGUUUAUAUUUUACAAUAACCGUCCGAUUAUGCGAUCGCGAGCGAUCCAACCGUUCGAUCAAGACCAAAGUUGUGGGACUUGUAUACUAAACCUUGUGGAACCUAUAGGAACUUUCAGAUCGGAAUUUGGAGGUCGUGGGCUCCGUUGACCCGUUUGACCAAGUAUGGGGUAGUUUGACCCUUGGUUGACCGUGAGUCUUCCAGGAUAGUUUCAUCUUCCUAGGAGGACUAAAAUGACCUUAGAGACAUGUCUUGAUCGCUAGUUGAGUUAUGUUGAUUAUGAGGGAUUAGGAUAUAAAUUUUAUUAUUUUAAAUUUGGAGAUUAUGGGAUGCUAUAUUGUGGUUGAGGUUUAUGCUAUUUUGGAAAUUAAUACAUACAUGUAUAUAUAUUAUAAAGAUAUAAAGAUGUUUGAUUUCACUAUAAGUACCAUCCUGCGAUUUUGAGGUCUCGCAUGGCGUAAGAUUUUCCGACGUUGAGACACACCCCAUACGUGGCUUUGGAUGUUCUGGCGUAUAGGGAGAUUUUGUGAUUGUAAGGUCCCACGUGACAUAGGAUUUUUCGGCGUGAGGACAAACCCCAUACGUAGCGUUGGAUGUUCCGACGUAUGGGGAGAUGAUAUGAUUGUUAGGUCACACGUGGCGUAGGAUUUUCUGAUAUGCUGACAGACCCCAUACGUGGCGUUGGAUGUUUCGGCGUAUAAGGAGAUUUUAUGAUUGUUAGGUCUCACGUGGCAUAGAAUUUUCCGACGUUGAGACAGACCCCAUACGUGGCGUUGGAUGUUCCGGCAUGGAGAUUUUGUGAUUGUUAGGUCCCACGUGGCGUAGGAUUUUCCAACGUGAGGACAGACCCCAUACGUGGCGUUGGAUGUUCCGACAUAUGGGGAGAUGAUAUGAUUGUUUGGUCACACGUGGCGUAGGAUUUUAUGGCGUGCUGACAGACCCCAUACGUGGCUUUGGAUGUUCUGGCGUUUAGGGAAAUUAUGUGAUUAUUAGGUCUCACGUGGCGUAGGAUUUUCCGGCGUAUGGGGAGAUUUUGUGAUUGUUAGGUCUCACGUGACGUAGAAUUUUUCGGCGUGAGGACAAACCCCAUACUUGGCGUUGAAUGUUCCGACGUAUGAGGAGAUGAUAUGAUUGUUAGGUCACACGUGACAUAGGAUUUUUUGGUGUGCUGACAGACCUCAUACGUGGCUCUGGAUGUUCCGGUGUAUGGGGAGAUUAUGUGAUUAUUAGGUCUCACGCGUGUCGUGAGAUUCUUCUGGCGUGUGAGACAGGCCCCAUACGUUGCGUUGGAUUUUUCCGGCGUAUGAGGAGAUUAUGUGAUCAUUAUGGAGAUGAAUGAAGAAUUGUGGUACUGCAUUGGAAAGAACUACGUGUGGCUUGAUCCCUUGGUGAGGGUAUGUAGGCAGCCUAGGAUAGUGCCUAGGUGCAGCCGCAGACUAAAUAUUAUUUUUGAGAUUGGUUCUGACCUUGUCAUUGGUCCUGAAAUUCGAUUGAAAACUAGAUGACGUAAAGUGUAUUUAGGCAUUCAUAUUUAUGUUUGAAAUUAUUACUUGCCUUGGUUAAGGUAUUAGUUGACUUAAGAGCUCUGUUGGUAGUUUAGUUUCAGAUUAUUUGAAGGCCGGAGACCGAUUAUGUGAAUUACAUGGAAUUAUCUUGUGCAUGCUGCCAGUUGUGGAUAUUAAAUGUGUUUUGUGCAGGUUGAAAUUUUUGGGAUUGUUCAAAUUACAGGGGAAACUUAGCCAAAAUUUCGGCAGAAAGUCUCGUGCCUUUAUUCCGUUUUUGAAUAAGGAGGCUAUAGUUUUAGUAAGUGGGCCCGGCAUCGGGGUGAUGUCGGAAUUUUCACAGGAUUCGUCUUGAGUUUUGAGAAAUUCGGGGCAGGUCCUGUCAUCAAUGAACUUAUGUACAAGCAUGAAGAUGGCUUUACUCAUGCUGGAGUUGUACUUAAGGAUCUUCUGGUGUCUCUGUUUGUCAACCCUGUGCCCAUAUAGGCCUAAAAUCAAAUUUGGUCUUCUUGUCUUUGCUAUAAAGAAUAAGGUCUCCACAAGUCAUGUCUUUGCUUUUUGGUUUUUAAAAAUAGUAAUUUGGUUUGUUUUGGGUCAUUUGUAGUCGUGGGCAUUACUCAGAAUAAGACUACACUAUUUGUACUGUACUGACCUUUUGUUUGUCAGCCCAUUUAGUACUUUAGAUUUUAUGUGUCAUAUAGAUUAGUUUGCAAUUGAUGUUCUGAAUAAAACAAAGUCGGGUUUGAGUCCAUAUUGUAUCAUUCAAUAGUUAUAUUUUUACAUUUCUACAUUUCUUUUUUUAUUGUUAACAAUAGGAAAAAAAAAACAAAAAAACAUGUCAAAAAACAAAAAAAGGAAACAUGUCAAAAAACAAGCUUUCUUCAAUAUCAAGCAAAAAAAUUUGUAGUGUAUGUUUUCACCCACUCAAAACAAAACAAAAAAAGUUCAUGUCUUCUUCUUUCUCUUCUAUUUUCUCAAAUUGAAACAUUAAAACUUUUAUGAAUUGGAUUUAUGAUUGCCAUUGCAUGCUAAUAGAUAAUGAAUUUUAGUUAUUAAAAAAAUUUAUAAUGGUAUUACCUCAUGGUAAAUUUUUUUAUAAAUAUUUUCAUAUUACAUUAUGUGAGGACUCUCGUUUAAGUUUUGCUCAAGGCCCUCAAAAUCUCAAGGUCGGCCCUGCUCUUUAUGCCCCUACAAUACAAACUUUUAUGAGCUGGACCAAAAUACAUGAGUUCCUCCGUAUACAUGUGUUACGUACGCAUAGCCCAAUCCACUUUUUAACUCCAUAGCCUAAAAGCCGAACUUCUUUUUUAGAAGUAAUUUUUGUACGCUCCGAGUACACCAUACAUGUGACAUGUGAAAAUAUUCUCUAAUACACUUGUAUUAGAUGGUACACGAGUCAACUUGUGUACACAGAAGAACAUAAAAAAUUUUCUCCUUUCUUACUAUGUAAGAAAUAAAUUAAUAUAUAAAUAACCGAAACAUAGAUAUUGGCAUAUUUGUGCAGCACAUCCUUCAACAAUCAGGAAAAAGAAAAAUAAAUAAGUAUCAAAUUAAAGAUUAACGACCUUUUCAAGUAGCAAAUAAAUGCAUUUUAUACUAAAAAAUCCUUUGUAAUUUAAACUAUUACUUAUAUUAAUAAAAAUAUACAAUUAAAUGCAUAUAUAAAUUAUUAAAGAAAUAAAUAUAUAGAUGGAUCAAUAUACAUGCACACAUUCAUAUAUGUCAAGUGAUCUUUAUUGUGUGUAUAUAUAUAUAUAUAUUUAUUUAUUUAUUUCUAUGCGUAGUCGCACAUUCCAUUGCCACAAGAAGUGCCUUCCUUGCAGUGGUUGGUGCACCUGCCACAGUUUUGAUUGUGAGACAUUGGAUUCACACAAUGAGCGUUGCGGCAUAUCUCUGAGCUACUGGCCCUGCGCUGCCUUCAGUUUCAAUAAAUAAAAGACAAAGUGAGAGUUUAUUAGAGCACUUUCAUCCAUUUGCCAAGACAAAAGGAAAGGGCUGUUACUAUUUACAUGAAUAGUGGCAACUCUUGUAAAAAGUUGUGGUGUUUUCACCCAUUGCCAUGACAACAACUAUUCACAUGAGAUGUGAUGAAAGAAAUUUGUAUAGAGUUUUGGUGUGGAAAGUGAAAAAUAUGACUAAGUAUUUAUUUUUAAAAAAUUCUAAAAUUAUUUGUAGAUUUUUUUCAAUUUUAAAUUUUCUGUUGCUGUUUCUGACGUCAGCAUACCCUGGCUUGAGCUCGAGCUAAUUUUGCCUGAGGGCUGGCUUGGUUUCGUAGGCCCAAGCAGUUGCCCUGAUAGCUUAAGGCCGCUGGAAUCAUGAAAAGGGGCUUGGGCCCCCUAUUGCCCUGGCAAGGACUGUCCGAUGGAAAGGCUCUUAGACACCAAACAAUGGACAUUUCAACAACUGGAUAGUUAGUGAGUCCAUAAGCAAUUCCACACUUUUCUUAAUAGAUACAUAUUUAUAUCAAUACCAUUAUUUCAAAUUUUGAUUACCAAAUAAUAGCGUAAGAUAUGAUAAUUUUUUAUUUGUUGUGAAUAAAUGAGAUCUAAUUCGGAUACACCAACACUAUAUUAGCCCAAAUAUGAAAUAGCAACAACUUUAAGAGGAUAUACUCUGCGAACGCUUGCCCCAGUAGAUUCAGUCAUGUCUAAGUCCUCCCCUCUUGCGCCAUCGGGCAGCGCCCAGUGAACUUGUGCACUAAAUUUGCCAAAGCAAUCUCUUGGACAGCCAUGGCAAACUGAAUUCCUGGGCAAACUCUUCUGCCAGCCCCAAAUGGAAUGUAGUGGAAGUAAUUGCCCUUAUAAUCUAUGGCACUGUCCAAGAACCUUUCUGGCUCGAACACCUCUGGUUUGUUGUAUGACUUGGGAUCUCUUCCAAUUUGCCACGCAUUCACUAUAACUUGUGUGUUGGCUUUAAUGUCGUAGCCAUUUAUUUGUGCAUCUUGGGUCGAUAGCCUGGGCAGUAGCAAUGGAAUUGAAGGAUGUAGGCGAAGAGUCUCCUUGAUAACUGCCUUCAAGUAGUGCAUUUCAACCAAAUCAUCCUCUCUAAUUAUGUCUGUUUUCUUGCCAACUAUUCCCCGGACCUCAUUCUGCAAUUUUUCCAUGAUUCUUGGAUGCCUUAAAAGCUCGAACAUUGUCCACUCUAGGAGUGUAAAUGAGGUGUCAGAGCCACCAACAAACACAUCCUACAAGAAUUUUAAUGGUAAAAAUCGAUUAAAAAUUAAUGGAAAAUUAUAUAUAAAACCCAAAAAAUUGGGGUUAGGAAUAACCCACGUGUUAUUUAUCUAUAUAUCUAUAUAUAAAAAAAAAGGUAAAAGGCUUUAAAAGUGAAACAUUCAAAAACCCUGAAAAUACUCGUGCUUCAAAGAAUUUUUGCUGCUUGGAUUGGAAUAGUGUAGUCUUCUAUCUUUUUAAUUAAGGUGCACUGGUCGUGAAAAUGAUUAUGCUUUGAACUCUUUUUCUGCAUGAAGGGCUAGUGGUUGUUCUCUCAUAGGAGAUUUUGGCACUAGUUAAACUUCAAAAAAAAAAAAAUGAAGAGGUUAAAAGAAUUCAAAAGAAAAAAAAUUGGAGCCAAACUUUUUCCUAAUAUUAAUGGAGUACAUGACUCAUUUGUUUUGUGUGAUCACCAUUUGGUUAAUGAAUUGUGCACAAAAUUUAAUAAGAUACGGAUCCUCUGCUAUGAUUUUAGUCCCCUUAUAGGAUGGAUCGUACUUUGGAGCACAUGUGGUAGUUCCUACUCACACUCACAAAUACAUAUUGGUUGGUCCAUUAAAAUGCAAAUAUCACCUCUCAUAUCAUUAUGCGAACAUUGGGCACAAGAGUUGUGUUUCCAACGUUGACAAGGGAUUGGAAGAUCUAGCUCGACGGAAAAAUAAGGAAUAAAACUUAUAGAAGCAUGCAUGCCGUCUAUGUAUUGUUGUUAUCAUGGCGAUACUAAUUCGGCAAUUUCUAAUGGGUGAAUUAAAAAAACAUUUUUAAUCUAUAUAUGUAAAGUUAAAUAUCAUUAUGGUUAAAUUUUAAAAUAACUCAUUUAAGAAAAAUUUCAAAACACAAGAAUUAAUUCAUUUUGAAGGGACAGAUACAUUUAUUUAAAAAAUAAUAAUUAAAAGGAGAUAAGAAUCUAUGACCAACAAGAAUUCUAUAUAUAUUACUGUUGAUGCUCAAAAUUAAUGUGAUGAGAAGUUGAAGGAUAUUUAAAGCCCAAUAUACUAUAUAAUGUUGGCUAUGUGUUAAUCCAAGCUAUAUUUUGGGAAGUAAUUCAUUAAAUAAAUAUAGAAAUAUUGUACAAGUCGUGCCAAGCAAGAUACAUUUUCCUAUGCUAAACUACCCGACAAGCUUAAAUGGACCCAAGCCACAUAUAUGUAUGGAGAUUGCUGAACGAGUUGUGGUGUGGAUGGUUAUAAUUGUUCAUAAAGCCCGUUGAAAAAUCAGACAAUAAAAGUUUUAGGGCUGCUUGGGAGUACAAAAACUCAUACCCACUUUCCUGAGCCUAAUUACAUGGGUAAGUAGAGACAGAACUUCCAGCCUCUUCCAAAACUCAAACCCCACUUUACUGCACACUCAUGGAAAAACCAACUGUUGAGCACUGUACACUCAUGAAUCCUUCUUUAAACAAACAUUCUAUAGCCUAUAAAUAGACCUUCAUCCCUCCUUGCAAUACACACACCGAAACCAGAAGAAGAACGGCAUGAGGCAAGCUCAUCCUCCCACUGCCGUAAACACAGAAAGCCCAAGCCUUCCUCCAUCACGCUUCUCUUCUUUCAUAACACCACUCCAAGCCCUAAACAUCACACAGAAAACCAUCCCAACUCCCGAAAACACCACAUGCAUCUCACCUUCAACAUAUCUUAUUCCAAUCCAAGCCGCAAAAGCACUCUCUCUUACUAAACUUAUGGAGACUUGUUCUCACACCAUAAGCCUCUCAAGCCAAGCUUCAUAUUGAUUAACUGAAGCAAGCUCCCAUGCGAAGCGUACAGUAUCGACAUAGUUGCUCUUUACUAGAGACCACUUCCUCUAGCAUCUUCUCCAGCACUAUUAAUUCCACUACUUACAGCACAUAGUUCACUUCAAGAAAAGCACUUCCAACGCAACAAAAUCAAGCAUAAUCAUUCCAGUACCUAUUAAUUGUACAUCAAAACCUGUAAGGAGCCACUGAAGAUAACCAAAUCACUCCCCUGUCUUAAACUCUUUCGGGGUGCUUUGGGGCCUGGUGCUGCAAACUCAGAAAGGGUAAAGGAGAUCUCAGUCCACCUCACAUUAGUCCAAUAAGCCCAUUGCAUCUCUCAACAAAAUAGACCCUCAUACAAAUGGCGACUCUGCUAAGGACUAGGCCAUUAUUCUUAGAGCGGCUCCUCAACAAUCACAAACUUUGUGAUUCGCACGUCACGCCACUGGGGGCUUCAUAAAGCAAGUUUUCCGUUGCCUUCUUCAAGUUCUUCCUGCAGCAGGAGAGAUGAAAUCGUUAAUUUUUCUUUGUAUUCAGUAUUUAUUGCUAAAAAAAAAGUUCUUUCGAUCAAUCAAGCUGCUAAAAAAAAGGAGUUAAGCAUCCAGGAGCUGUUGAUUUUAGUUUUCUUCCUGGAACAAUUAGAGAAAAACAAACCAAAUUCUACAACCAUUUGCUGACCGAAGUGGUUUAGGCUUCAUGCCAAGGAAAUUUAGAAAAACAAUAUAAAUAUCAGAGAGAGUGAAUCACUCAAACAGAAACCAAUCCAACAUCAAACAUCCAUCUGCCAACAAUAUUUUAGUCCUCCAUGGUUCUCCUUUUCUUACCAGAUAAAAGAAAAAAAAUGAACGAAAAGCAAAAGAGACAGAAUACAAAAACUUAUGUGAAAGCAUCUUCACUUGCUCUGCCCACAGCUCACCAAUCGUGGUCACAAGCACAAGAUAUGAAUUUUGCCACCAAUGCCUCAAGGGUUGAAACGAAAUAACCCCUUGCUAUCACCUUUCUCACAGCGAAAGGAAGAUUUUCUCUGCAAAUUUACACAGAUCGACCACCACCAUCGCUGCAGGACCAGCCAGCUUGCAAUAAACAAUGCAUGAAUCUCCACGUACGGCACCCACUUCAUGCGCCAAUAUUAUAAUCUUAGCCGUGUGUUUUUAUAGUGAGAGUGAGACAGGGCAUGCAACUACUCGCUCAACCCAACUCACCCUGCGCUAGAUUUUUCUUAUCUUUGAAUUAUUUGGUUUUCAGGCACCUAAGGCUUAAAAUAACUUAUAUUCUUUGAAAUUUUUUAUAGGAACUAGUUGUGGCAGAGGUGAUGGGUGGAACGCACCAAGUUAAUUAAAUAAAAACAAGGCUUAAAUUUCAAAAUGGUCUCUGUAAUUUACUUCAUCGGCCAAUUUAAUUCCCCUAUUAUCAAUUUGGCCAAUUUCGUCCAUGUGUUUAUAUAUAUUAGCAAAACUUCAUCCUUUCCGUCAAAAUUUCUGUUAAAACUGAAGAAAAAAAAUAUUUUAAAAUUAAUUUAAAAAACUGCAAUUAUUAUUAAAUAUUCAAAUUCAAUCUAAAAAUUGAAUUAAUAAAAAAAAAUUGCCUCCCCCAACCUCAACCACCUCCCAACCCCACCUAAACCACCAUUUUUUCUCUCGCACCUUCCUCUCCGGCAAAUUGCAAAGAACUUCGUAGCCAAUCAUUGCAGCGCUUGGCUCUGCCAGUUCAUCAUCCUUGUUGUAGCAGAAGUUGGCGACAUUCACACAAACAACAUGCACACUGUAGAUUCUAUAACCCUCUCGAACCCUCGUCGUUGUUUGCACCAAGACCACCGUUGAGCUCGAUUUCUCAACAAGAUUUGCACUCUGCUUUGUCUGGGCGUUGGUUAAUCCGAGAAGAUAGUCUAGGUUGGAGUGGGCUACUAGACCCCCCUUUUCAACCCAAUACAAGAACAUGACUUUUAAUAAUUAAGUUUUUAUUAUUAUUUGAAUUUGAAUAUUUACAUGACAUUUUUUUCUUAAGUUUUAACAGAAUUUUAACAGAAGGGACCACAUUUUUUAAAAUAUACAAAAACAUGGACUAAAUUAGCCAAAUUGAUAACACGAGGACUAAAGUGGUCAAUGAGUUAAAUUUGGAUCUAUAUCUAACUUUUCUAUUUUUUUAUAUACCAAAACUACCCUCAUGCUUUUCAAGAUAUUCUCAACUCUAAGUACCCUCCUCCUAUCUUUCUCCUUCUUGCCAAUCUCAUCAAAACCCAUCAGAGGAGCUUAUUCCCCCUCCUCAUCCCUACCCCCACAGUAGCCCCAUCCUCAUCCAUGUAGCAGCCCCACCCCCUACCGUGCCAAGGGUAGCAUUCAUAUGUUCAAUCAAUGCUUGAAAUGGUAAAAAUGAACAACAACAAAAUUAACGAUAUAGUUUGUGGUUCUAUUUAAUUCAUUCUCCCUUUCAAACCAGUUGAGUAAAGGCCAUUAGACCCACUAACAGGGCCUAGUCUCGUGGAAAAUAUUGUUAACUUGACAGGACCCGCCCCGAAUUUCCCGAAACCCAAGACGAAUCUUGUGAAAAUUCCGACAUCACUCCGAUGUCGAACCCAGUCACUAAAACUAAAGCCUCCUUUUCCAAAAGGAAUAAGGGCAUGAGACUUUCUACUGAAAUUUAGGCAGUCUCCCUUGUAAAUUGAACAUUCCCAAAAUUUCAACCUGCAAUAAAACACAAUUUAAAAAGCCAACUGCUAGCACACACAAUGUAAUAGCACACAGUUUACAGACAAGGCCUCCAGCCUUCAAAUAAAUCAAGGCAGAACAACUAGUAGUACUCUUAAGUGAAUUAAUAUACUGACAAUGCAACUAAGGAACUCAAAUAAUUUUACGAGUACCACUGCAGUCAACAUGAAAUAACUUCCCAAGUUUUCAAUCUGCAAAGACACAAUAAUACUUCUCACAAAUUUCUAGCAUGCAUCAACUACCAUCUAUGAAUUUUCACCAAUAGUCCCAGGGGCCUCGGCCCAUAAUACCAUAUAAUCAAACCUAAAAACAUGUAUAACGUUUAGUCAACAACUGCACCUAGGCGCUACCCUAGGCUGCCUACGUACCCUUACUAAGGGAUCAAGCCACACGUAGUUCUUUAUACUAAAUCCUAAUUCCAAACACAUACAAUACCUUUAUUCAUCUCUCUGUUAAUCACAUAAUCUCCCCAUAUGCCGAAACAUCCAACGCCAUGUAUGGAGUCUGUCAGCACGCCGAAAAAUCCUACUCCACGUGUGACCAAACAAUCAUAUCAUCUCCCCAUACGCGGCGUAUGGGGUCUGUCCUCACGUCGGAAAAUCCUACGCCACGUGAGACCUCACAAUCACAUAAUCUCCCCAUACUCUGGAACAUCCAAAGCCACGUAUGGAGUCUGUCGACACGCCGGAAAAUCAUACUCCACGUGCUACCUAACUAUUACAAUAUCUCCCCAUACGUCGAAAAAUCCAACACCACGUAUGAGGUCUGUCCUCACGCCAGAAAAUCCUACAUCACGUGGGACCUAACAAUUACAUAAUCUCCCCAUACGCCGGAAAAUCCUACGCCACAUGAGACCUCACAAUCACAAUAUCUCCCCAUACGCCGAAAAAUUCAACGCCACGUAUGGGGUCUGUCAGUACGCUGAAAAAUCCUACGCCACGUGUGACCUAACAACAAUCAUAUCAUCUCCCCAUACGCCAGAACAUCCAACGCCACGUAUGGGGUCUGUCCUCACGCCGAAAAAUUCUACGCCACGUGGGACCUAACAAUCAUAAAAUCUCCCUAUACGCCGGAACAUCCAACGCCACGUAUGAGGUCUGUCUCAACGCCGGAAAAUCCUACUCCACGUGAAACCUAACAAUCACCGGAUGGUACUUACACAGUGUAAUCAUCAUCUUUAUAUCUUUAUAAUAUAUAUAUAUAUAUAAAUUUCCAAUAUUGCCUAAACCUCAACCACAAUAUAGUAUCCGAUAUCCCCCAAUUUAAAACAAUAAAUUAAUAUUCUAUUCCCACAAAAUCAACUUAACUCAAGUAGCGGUUAAGACUUAUCAAUAAGGUCAUUUUAAUCCCUCUAGAAAGGUGAAACUAUCUCGAAAGACUCACAGUCAACCAAGAAUCAAACUACUCAAACUUGCUCAAACAGGCCCACGACCCCCAAAUUUGGAUCCGAAAGUUCCUAUGGGCUCUACAAGGAUCAGGAUACACUUCCUGCAAGUUUGGUUCAGAUCGGACGGUCGGAUCGCUCACGAUCGCACGAUCGGACGGUUAUUGUAAAAAUAGCCUUAGGAUUGACAUUUUCGGAGUGUCCGGGACUCCGUUUUACGAUCCGUCGAAUCCUAUACGAUCCUAAAGAUGCCUCGAUUGUCAUAUAUCAAAUUGGAGUUGAUCCAACGGUCUGAACAUGUCAAACCAGAUAACGCCUAAUAUGCGAUAUCCGAUCGACGAUCAAACGAUAACCAAAUUCAAAUUCGAGCAUCCCGUCAUGCUGGGGACGACAAGAGGGUUAUUUUGAAACUCUAAGAUAGGCCACCACAUGACCCACGUGCCACCCCAUGUGCCGGCAGUGCGUAGGUGUCCAAAGAAAUUUCCGGCGGCCGAAAAAUCUCCAAACCGCCGGCCAAGACUCCCAGGUUAGGUAAAUCACAUGUAGUGGAGCAACUUUUGUCCUUGAACCUACCCCAAAAAGUAGACGAAAGUGGCUGAAAACUGGCAGAAUUUCAAUCGCUUAUUUAACCGCCUAAACACAGAAAUUUCUCCUUUGCAACACAACCAUCAGCUAGAACGUCUCGAGAGGUUGAGAAAGCAUACCUAGAUCGACGAAAAUGGUGCCCGGAGGAGUCCGAACGAGCUCUGUGAAUUUUGGGUUAAAACCGGUCGAUUUUUGUCACUUUCCAGUGAGCACAGGUGGUUCCAGCGGCUGAGGCUGGUCGGGACGGAAAGAGUGAGGUGGCCUGGUUCUUUCGGGACCGGUACCACCCGAAACGGUGGCCGGAUGCGACGGUGGUGACCCAAAAUCCCGGCUGAUGAAUAGUAACAGGGGGGCUGUUUCUUGCGAAAGGAGAGGGAGAAAGAAGAAGAAAAAGAAGAAAAAGAAAAAGAAAAUUUAAAACUGCCCGGUUACUGUAGCACGACACUGUUUGCUACAGUACAAAUUUUAAAAAUUACCUUUGCAUCCUUUUUGUUUUCAGACUUUUCCUCUUUCGUUACAACUCAGAAUUGGGCGUGCCGCAUGUCUACGAACUCAUGUCGACGAGCUCUACUUAAUGGUGCCACUUACUUCUCCAAAAUCUUUUCGAAUCAGAAAAUAACCAAAAUACCCUUAUCCAAAGGGUAUAUUCGUAAAUUCAUAUUUAAAUUAAUUUAAUAAUUUAAUUGGGUAAAUAAAUUAGGGUCAGGGUGUUACAUAACUUGCAAACUAAUAGUCUCAUGUUCGAACUCUCAUGGCACCUUGGUAAUGUGCGUGAGAAAAUCCCCUCCUUAUUCCUAACUUUGGCAACCAAAAAAAAAAAAAAGAGUCAUCAGGCCAUCAUAUAAAUUCAUCUCUUGUUGUUCGAUCAACAAAAAAAACUCAUCUUGUUAUUUUUUAUUUCAAAAUUAUUUACAUGUAUUAUUUUAAAUAAUCACAUGAAUGCGUAGAAUAAUAUAAUAAUGUAAAUAUAUUGAAUUAUUUAUCAUUAAACAUCAGUAAAAUUUUAAAAAUAUAGACAAUAAAAUGUUAUUAUAUUGUAUGAUGUACUUGCCAUUUUAAGUUUUUUUUUUUUACUAGUAAGUAUACAAAACAUAUUUUAUUAUGUACAAGGCAUAUUAGUAAUCAAAUUGAUUUUGAUUCCUAUUACUGAAUACUUACAUAAGAAUGAUAUAAUAAUUAGUGGAAAAAAAAGAGGCCUGGUUUCAAACAAAGUACUAAUUACAUGAGUGGGAAAUAUAACUUCUGUUUACUUAUGUUACUCCAUUAAUAAAAUAAUAUAUUAAUUUGUAGCAACUCCGAUCUCUUGGACCAUAAGGGUCACCCACCGUUGGAUGUUAAUCUCCUUCUCACAAUAUUUAUAUACACACCAAUAUUUAUAGAGGAAAUAGGUAACAAAUUUCCUAAAACCCUUGCUAUAUAUUUCUGUCCUGAAAGAUUUAAGGAGCCUCAAAUUUGGAUAUUGCAACCACUUGAGACGUUAAUUAAUUAGACUUUAGAGAACGGUUAGGAUAUUGCAAUUUUUGGAUAUUAUAUAUCACUACUACAUUUUACACUUUGCGCGACGAAGUUAAUUUCGUCGCGCAAAAUAAAUUGUGGUCGCACAAAUUUCAACGCCACAAAAACUUCGUCGCGCAGAAUCCGUCGCGCAAAGAUCGUGAAGAAAGACUUUGCGCGACGAAGUUUUUUCAUUGGUCGCGCAAAGUUACUUUGCGCGACGAAAAAAUAUUGGUCGCGCAAAGUAACUUUGCGCGACGAAGAAAAGUGACUUUGCGCGACGAAAAAUAUUGGUAGCGCAAAGUUUUGCACGACGAAAUACAUUGGUCGCGCAAAGGUUUGCGCGACGAAAAACAUUGGUCGCGCAAAGUUUUGCGCGACGAACUACAUUGGUCGCGCAACUGUUUGCGCGACGAAAUACAUUGGUCGCGCAAAGUCUUAAAAAAAUUCCCGCGUCAAAUUUUUGGUACCCGCCCAAAUUUUUAGAGUUUUACGCGACAAAUAGUAACGUCGCGCAAAUAUUUGCGAGACGAAAUAUUUUUUGUUUUAAAUUUUUUUUAUUUGAAAUAAACUAAUUUAAUAGUUUGCGCUACGAAAUAUUUUUUCUUUAGUAUGAAUUUAUUUAUAUGAAUUUUUUCAAAUUUUUACUUUUUAAUUUAAUUUAAUUGUAUGAUUUCUUUUUAAAAUUACUUCAAUUUAAAUUGAUAUUAAUUUUUUCAAAUUUUUACUUUUUAAAUUUAAUUUAAUUGUAAGAUUUUUCUUAAUUACUUUAAUUUAAAUUGACAUAUUCAAAAUAAAAUUACAUAUGAAACAUAGUGAUCAAAUUAUCCAAUAAAUAUAAAUAUAUAUUCAAAAUGUACAUAUAAAUUAACAAAGUACAAUAAUAAAAUCCUAAUACAAGCGUAUUGUGGUGGUAGUGGCGGAGGAUAUGUUUUGAUAGCUUCCUAAUCCUCAACUUUAGCCGUCAAAGUCUCGAUGAUUCCCUACAAAAAAACAAAUAUAGUCAAAUAACAACAACAACAACAAAAAGAACGCACAAUCUCCCCUAAAAUUGUUAUACCACAAAUCCAACCCAAACUCCAAUCUCUCCCCUUUACUCAACCCCAAACCCCACACAAACUCAAAACUAACUCCAAAAACACAUAUUAAUGAAAAAAAUUUAAAAUUUGGAGAGAAUAUACCUUUUGGCAAGAUUGAGAGUGAGUGAGAAUGAGAGGGAGAAGUGAGUGUGAGAGAAUUAGAAAAGAUAGUGAUAGAGAGAUGAGAGAGUGAGAGAUAGUGAAAAGAUAGAUGAGAGAGUGAGUGAGAGUGAGAGAUAGUGAAGAUAGAGAUGAGAGAUUAAGUGAGAGGAGUUAGUGUGAGAGAAAGGGUGGGAUUUGGGGAAAGGGAAAGAGAGAGGAGAGGUAAGAGUAGAGAAAGAAAUUGAGAAAAUGGUGGAGGAGUUAUUUCAGUUUUAAAAAUCGUAUCACUUUGCGCGACGAAAAUAUGGUUGGUCGCGCAAAGUUUUGCGCGACGAAACAUAUUGGUCUCGCAAAGUUUUGCGCGACGAAUAUAGGAAUAUUGGUCGCGCAAAGUCUAAAAAAAAUUAUUUUAAAAAAAAAAAAAAAUUCCCGCAUCCCAUUUUUGGUACCCGCCAAAAUUUUUAAAUUUUUGCGCGACGAAAAAUAAUUAUUGGUCGCGCAAAGUCUAAAACAAUUAUAUAUAAAAAAUUCCCGCGUCCCAUUUUUGGUACCCGCCCAAAUUUUUGCGCGACGAAAAAUAUAUAUUGGUCGCGCAAAGUUUUGCGCGACGAAACAUAUUGGUCUCGCAAACUUUUGCGCGACGAAUAUAGGAGUAUUGGUCGCGCAAAGUCUAAAAAAAAUUUUUUUUUUUUUUUAAAAUUCCCGCAUCCCAUUUUUGGUACCCGCCAAAAUUUUUAAAUUUUUGCGCGACGAAAAAAACAUAUUGGUCGCGCAAAGUCUAAAACAAUUAUAUAAAAAAUUCCCGCGUCCCAUUUUUGAUACCCGCCCAAAAUUUUUGCGCGACGAAAAAUAUAUAUUGGUCGCGCAAAGUUUUGAGCGACAAAAAAUAUUGGUCGCGCAAAGUCUAAAGUUUUUUUUUUAAUUUUAAAAACCCGCGUCCCAUUUUUGGUACUCGCCCAAAUUUUUUGAGUUUUGCACGAUGAACUGUUGAUCGCGCAAACUUUUGAGAGACGAAAAAUUGGUUCGUAGCACAAUAUUUAUAAAAAUAAUUGUUAUGAAUAAUAAAAAAUAAAAAAAAUUAUUUUAUGAUUUAAAAUAUAAUUAAGGUGAAAGCUACUUAAUAAAUGUAUAUACUAUUCAAUUUCUUAAGUGUUAUACGUACAAAAUAAAUAAAUUUAAAGCUACUUAAUAAAUAUAUGUAUAUAAAUAUAUAUAUAUACACACACCAUUCAACGAUCCAACCAUAAGACUUGUUUGUAUAUACUUCAAGAUCGUAUACCCCAAAAAUCGCAAAAAACAAACAUUCAGAGAUCUAGUAACGGGACAAAACUUUUCGAUAGUUAUAAAUGAAAAAUCACGAUUUAACGGUUAUUUUAACUCCGAUUUUGAUGAUUUUUUUUACAGCUACACUCCUUGACCCUAUAUGAAUACAAUGACUGAAUUUGAUCUUCAAUUUAAAACAUUUGCACUAGUGGAUACCACAAAAUCUUAUGUUAUAUUUAACGAAAAUAUAAAUAAACUCUUAAUUGUUAGUGAAUAUAUUGUUUUGAUGGCAUAUGCAUUCUACGAAACUAGUUUCAACGAUCCAACCGUCAAACUUGUUUUUUUAUACUUCGAGAUCAUAUAUGCCAAAAAUUGGAAAAAAUAAAUAUUCAUAGAUCAAGUAACGGGACAAAACUUUUUGACGGUUAUAAAUGAAAAAUCAUGAUUUAACGGUUAUUUUAACUCCGAUUUUGAUGAUUUUUUACAGCUACACUCCUUGACCCUAUAUGAAUACAAUGACUGAAUUUGAUCUUCAAUUUAAAACAUUUGCACUAGUGGAUACCACAAAAUCUUAUGUUAUAUUUAACGAAAGUAUAAAUAAACUCUUAAUUGUUAGAGAAUAUAUUGUUUUGAUGGCAUAUGCAUUCUAUGAAACUAAUUUCAACGAUCCAACCGUCAAACUUGUUUUUUUAUACUUUGAGAUCAUAUACGCCAAAAAUCGGAAAAAAUAAACAUUCAAAGAUCAAGCAACGGGACAAAACUUUUCGACGGUUAUAAAUGAAAAAUCAUGAUUUAACGGUUAUUUUAACUCCGAUUUUGAUGAUUUUUUACAGCUACACUCCUUGACCCUAUGUGAAUACAAUGACUGAAUUUGAUCUUCAAUUUAAAAUAUUUACACUAGUGGAUACCACAAAAUCUUAUGUUAUAUUUAACGAAAAUAUAAAUAAACUCUUAAUUGUUAGUGAAUAUAUUGUUUUGAUGGCAUACACAUUCUAUGAAACUAGUUUCAACAAUCCAACCGUCAAACUUGUUUGUUUAUACUUCGAGAUCAUAUAUGCCAAAAAUCGGAAAAAAUAAACAUUCAUUGAUCAAGUAAUGGGACAAAAGUUUUUGACGGUUAUAAAUGAAAAAUCAUGAUUUAAUGGUUAUUUUAACUCCGAUUUUGAUGAUUUUUUAUAGCUACACUCCUUGACCCUAUAUGAAUACAAUGACUGAAUUUGAUCUUCAAUUUAAAAUAUUUUACACUAGUGGAUACCACAAAAUCUUAUGUUAUACUUACGAAAGUAUAAAUAAACUCCUAAUUGUUAGUGAAUAUAUUGUUAGUGAACAAAAAAAAACUAGUUUCAACGAUCCAACCGUCAAACUUGUUUGUUUAUACUUCGAGAUCAUAUACGCCAAAAAUCGGAAAAAAUAAACAUUCAGAGAUCAAGUAAGGGGACAAAACUUUUCGAUGGUUGUAAUGAAAAAUCACGAUUUAAUGGUUAUUUUAACUCCGAUUUUGAUGAUUUUUUACUGCUACACUCCUUGACCCGAUAUGAAUACAAUGAACUAAUUCGAUCGUCAAUUUAAAAUAUAUAUUUUCUAACAAAAACCCAAUCCGAACAACAAUAAUAUAUUUUUCUAAUAAAAAUCCGAUCCGAUCUAAAAUAAUAAGUUUAAAGCUACUUAAUAAAUAUAUAUACCGUUUAAUUUCUUAAGUGUUAUGCAUACAAAAUAAAAAACAAAAAUAAAUUGGUUUAGGUGACAAAAUGUUUGGAUUACGUCAUGCAAAGAUUCUAAAAAAUAAAUUUUUUAUUCUAUUUAUUUUUGUAAGGACUUUGCGCGACGAAAAGUAAACUUCGUCGCGCAAAGUCACUUUGAGCGACGAAUUAUUUUUCAUCGCGCAACAUUGGUCGCGCAAGACUUUGAGCGACGAUGUAUUGUCGUCGCGCAAAAGUUUGUAGCGCGAAGUGAGUUUGCGCGACGAAUUAUUUUUCGUCGCGCAAAAUUUGGUCGCGCAAGACUUUGAGCGACGAAGUUUCAAGUUUCGUCGCGCAAAGUAACUUUUAGCGACGAAUAAUUUUUCGUCGCGCAAAAUUUGGUCGCGCAAGGGGUUUUUUUUACUAGUGUAUUCUUUCUCUACUUUACCUUAAUGACUCAUAAUUACCCACUAGCACUGUAACACAGCUUCAAGUUGAAGCCAUGGCAGAGGCGUGGGAGGGGAGAAAGACUACGUAUUUUUAUAGUGUUAUCUCCGACUAAUAAUACCAUAGCAUUCAUGAUAAUACUUCGAUGUGGCAUAACAUUAUUGGCCGAAAAUAACAAAACAAUACUAUCUCCAUUACAACUACGUUUUUAUCCGUGGGCUGCUCUUAGGCUUAUCUAGUCUUUAAAAUGCAGUUGAAGAAUUUAUUAUUAUGAAAAUGACGUGAGAGAGAGGGAGGGGGUCAUAUAUUUUCAGAAUAAUUUUGCUAAAAAACGAAAGCAGAAGAAUUAAUUAUUAUGAAAAUGACGUGUAAUAAAACCACAGGUUGUGUGACAUUGCCGUACGGUACAUGCAGUCGGUGAGUCCACAGAUGACCAUGCAUUUGUUUUGAGUCGGAUUAAGCAGUGAAUGGGGGCACUAGUUGUCCAUCUUUAUAUGACCCAAUGACUUAAGAUAUCUAUAUGCAUACAGACUUUGAGAAAGCACAAAUAGUUUGUGGACAUGAGCGAUAGAUACUGUGGUUUUGGAUUAUCAACAAUGACAGUGUGAACGACUUUUCUUCAUGGUGUGCUUUAGCUACAUCUUCUACGCUUCUGCAUUGGUCACAUUCAUGUAAUCUUGAACAUGAAGCAACGUACCACAAAGGCUACCAAAACUUUAAUAACUGUGGACCAGAAGGAAGCAGUAUAUAGGUCCUACUACCUGUGCAUUUUUGCUGACUAAUAGUUUGAUGCUUAAGGUAAAUCCAAUACAAUUAGUGUAAAUGUCAUUUUACUAUAUAAUUAGGUAUAUCCAAUACAAAAUAAAUCUUUAAUCUUGAACAUAUUUAUAUAGGGGAUUCUAUGACUCACAAAGAAAACCUACGGAUACAUUUGUGUUUAUGUUUAAUCUCAUUUUCUCUUUUGUAAUUCCAUCUACUUUUCAUAAGAGUUUGUUUGAAACAAUUUAUAUAUAAAAACUACCCUUGUUUUUAGAUGAUUAUUGUGGUAGGAUGUAAUCAACAAAAUAGACAAACACGGUAUUUCAAGAAAAGACUAUAAUAAAAACUAUCUAAUUGAAUGAUCAAAUAGUUUCGGAUCCAAUUGAUUGUCACAGAAAUGAUCUUUGAAGAAAUAUCUAAAAACUAGAUGGUAUUGGAUUAUUGAAAUGCAUGGUGAGUCUUAUAAGGGUGUCUUUCAAAUAAACUUAUUUGAGAAAUCCCUCAACUAAAGCCAUAUCAGUCUCCUUCUCACAAUAUUUAUAUACACACCACACCUUUUGUGAAAAUCUAAAAAUGCUAAAUUAUGAAUGAAAACUGACAGUUAAAGAACUCUCAUGAUCACUCUACAAGAUUGUGACCUGAAUGAUGAAUCAGCAGCUUAAGUUUCACCCCAUUAAUAAAAUCUUUUGCCGUUCCCAUCCCACCUCUAAUAAAAGCUUACUUAAUACGUAGUCCCAUCAACCCCUACCAUCAAAGUAAGGGUUGAAUUUGGCGCUCUUUAGCCUUUAAUCACCACAAGAGUCACAAAUUCUUCUCUCUCCUUAUCUUUCCAACCCCACUGAUAUCUCAGGCAGCUCUAUAAAUAGGAAGAACCAAGCCAUAUUAUACUCACUCAGCAAUCAUCUCUUGCAUACUUUCAUAUAUACAUUAUUGUGCUUCUUGUUAAGCAAAACAUGGCAUCCUCAAAGGCUUUUCUUCUUCUUGGUCUUGUCUUUGCUGUUCUCCUCAUCUCCUAUGAGGUCUUAGCUAUUCCAACUCGUGAGUUUCUCACUUUCUUAACUAAAUCAUAAAUAUUAAAUUAGUAAUUGUAUCUUUCUUUCCAGUAACGAUUUGUGAAUUUAUGCACAUUUUAAUUAAGGUGCAUUGGUCGUGAAAAUGAUUAUGCUUCGAACUCUUUUUCUACAUGUAGGGUUAGUAGUUGUUGCACUUGCACGGCUUAAUUUGCAUCUUAUUAAAUACAAACUGAUCUAUGAUUGUUAUAAGUUAUGUAUAUUGUUUUUGCUUUAUAUAUAAAGUUUUUGGUUGUUCUCUCAGAGUCAGAGGAGAGUACAGUCAACGGUGAUGCCCGCGGAUUUGGAGGUCAUGGCCGCGGAUUUGGAGGUCAUGGCCCCGGACAUGGAGGUCAUGGCCCCGGACAUGGAGGUCAUGGCCCCGGACAUGGAGGUCAUGGCCACGGACAUGGUGGUCAUGGCCACGGACAUGGAGGUCAUGGGCACGGACAUGGAGGUCAUGGCCACGGACAUGAAGGGUAUGGCCACGGACAUGGUGGAUAUGGCCACGGCCACCACGGCCACCACGGCCACCAUGGCAUAGGGAGGCCUGGUGCUGCUGAGACUGAAAUCAAGAAUUAGAUAACCUGUUAGUUUCUGUGACUUACGUUGCAGGUGUGUUGUAAGGGUAGCAGUACGAAAUAAAGUUGUUUGGUUGAGUAAUCUAUAUGAACUCUCAAUCAUAAACUGUCCUAAGCUUGUUCUCAUGUUUCUCAUGUUCUCUGUAAUGUACGCAUUGUAAUGUACGCAUUGGAAUGUGUUCUCUUGUUAUGUGAUAAAAUGUGAUGUAACUUUCUCAAUACAUAUUAUGUCAAAAAUGUUUAGUAUGGCUUGGCUCCUUAAAAUUGAGGGGGAGCACAUCCUCAUAACAAAUGAGAUUUUGGCACUAGUGAAACUUCAAAAAAAUAAAAAUAAAAAGAGGUUAAAAGAAAUCAAAUGAAAAAAAAAAUUAAAGGAAUUUGCCAAGUGUCAAAACUCUAUUUCUUUUGAGGAGGAACUGCUCCUCAGUUUUGUGGAGCCAAACUUUUUCCUAAUAUUAAUGGAGUUCAUGUAUGACUCAUUUGUUUUGGGUACCAAAUUUAAUGAAUUGUGCAUUCAUUGGUGGACCCAUAAGCAUACAGUUUUUAAUUUAGGUGAGAUACUCUCGGCAAUUUAAAUCAUGUCAAAAACAUGAUAUCAAAAAAAAUCAGCCAUCAUCGAGUUUGUAGAUAAAGAAAUAAUAUAUAUGAAUGAACGUAAGCUAUAGAGAAGAACAUUACCAAGAGCUUUCGUGCUGAUAACGUAUUGUGAAACUAGAAAUUUGUAGGGAGAAAUAAGAGGAAGAAAGGGAGUAUAAUUUGCUCAAAUAAACUUGUAUUCCAUUCAUAUUUGGUGCCACUAUUUAUAGGGGUAGAGAGGCCUAAAUCAUUUACCACCAAUAAUUGAUAGGUGACAAAUAUAUAAUGAUGAGUAUUAUGAUAGGUUAAUAGUGGCUAUUAUUGUGAGCAUCCAUAACCUAUAAACCAAUAACAUAUGGAUUUAUAACACAAAUACGUUUAUUAAAUAAACAAUAAUUAAAAAGUAAAAAGAAGAUAAGAGUCUAUGUCCAACAAGAAUUCUAUAUAGAUUACUGUUGAGGCCCAAAAUGUCACGAGAAGCUCAAGGAUAUUUAAAGUCCAAUAUAACAUAUAAUGUUGGCCAUGCGUUAAUCCAAGCUGUAUUUUGGGAAUUAAUUCAUUAAAUAAAUAUAUAAAUAGUGUACAUGCCAUGCUAAUCAAAUAUUAUAUUUUUCUAUGCUAAACCACCUAACAAGCUUAAGUGGACCCAAGCCACAUAUAUAUUUAGGGCUUGUUGAACGGAUUGCGGUGUGAAUGGUUACAAGUGUUCAUAAAGCUUGUUGAAGGAUCACUGUUUUACAGCUGCUUGGGAGUACCAAAAUUCAUACCCACUUUCUUGAGCCUAAUUACAAGAGUAAGCAGAGAGGGAACUCCCAGCCUCUUCCAAAACUCAAACCCACUUUCAUUACUAUGCACAUAGUAAUUACUGCACACUCAUGGGGAAACCAAUUGUUGAGCACUGUACACUCACAGAUCCUUCCUUACACAAUCAUUCUUCAGCCUAUAAAUAGACCUUCAUCCCUCCUUGCAAUACACACGCCGAAACCAGAAGAAGAAUGGCAGGAGGCAAGCUCAUCCUCCAACUGCCGUCUACACACAAAGCCCAAGCCUUCCUCCAUCAUGCUUCUCUUCUUUCAUAACACCACUACAAGAGUCUUGAACAUCACACGGAAAACCAUCCCAAACCAUCCCAACUCCCGAAAACACCACAUGCAUCUCACCUCCAACAUCUUAUUCCAAUCCGAGCAGCAAAAGCAUUCUCUCUUACUGAACUUAUGGAGACUUGCUCUCACACCAUAAGCCUUUCAAGCCAAGCUUCAUAUUGAUACACUGAAGCAAACUCUCAUGCCAAGCGUACAGUAUCAACGUAGCUACUCUUCACCAGAGACCACCUCCCUCUAGCAUAUUCUCCAGCGCUAUUAAUUCCACUACCUGCAUCACAUAUUUCACUUCAAGAAAAGCACUUCCAACACAACAAAAUCAAGCACAAUCAUUCCAGUACCCGUUGUACAUGCAUCAAAACUUGCAAGAAGCCACUGAAGAUAACUAAAUCACUCUCUAAGUCUUAAACUCUUUCGGAGUGCUUUGGGGCCUGGUGCUGCAAACUCAGAAAGAGUAAAGGAGAGCUCAGUCCACGUCACACCAGUCCAAAAAACCCAUUGCAUCUUUCAACAAAAAAGACUCUCACAUAAAUGGCAACUUUGCUAAAGACUAGGCCAUUAUUCUUAGAGUGGGUCCUCCACAAUCACAAACUUUGUGAUUCGUAAGUCACCACUGGUGGCUUCAUGCAAAGCAAGUUUUCCGUUGCCUUCAAGUUCUUCCUGCUGCAAGAAAGAAGAAAUCGUGAAUUUUUCUUUGUAUUCAGUAUUUAUUGCAAAAAAAAUUGUUCUCUCGAUAAAGCAAGCUGCAAACAAAAAAAAAAAAAAAAAACAACGAGUCAAGCAUCCAGGAGCUGUUGAUUUUAGUUUUCUUCCUGAAACAAUUAAAGAAAAAACACACAACCAAAUUCUACAACCCCUUUCCGUGACAAGGGUAGCAUUCAUAUGCUCAGUUAAUGCUUGAAAUCACUAGCGGACCCAGAAAUUUUUUAGCGAAUGUGCAAUAUUGACUAAGUAUGAAAAAUGGUUUUUCGAAAUAAUCAUUUUGUCAAGAUAAUUUUUAGCCGCUUUUAUUUCUUACACAUCAAAUAAGAAAAUUUGAUUUUAUGGGAUUUUAGUAUAUAUGAAGUAUAUAUUGACUUAAUGAGCCAUCAUUUUUAGCUUAAAUCGUAUUUUGCACUAAAAUCGAAUUUUCAUAUUUUGAUUUGGUGAGAAUUUGAUUUUCUAGUAUUUUUAUUUGAAUCCAAAUGGGGGGUACUUUCUUAUUUACAUUGUAAACUUAAGUAAAUGGAGUAAUAUAAAAAUAAAUAAAAGUAAAAGGACAAAGACAUUUAAGUAAGGUAAUUUGUACAUCAAUUGAGCAAAUGAGCAAUUUGAAGCACCUACAAUGGUUUUUCCGGCAAGGGGAGGUGCAGCUGCACCUCCUUGCCCCUUAAUAGGUCCGCCUCUGCUUGAAAUGGUAAAAAUGAACAACAACAAAAUUAACGAUAUAGUUUGCGGUUCUAUUUAAUCCAUUCUCCCUUUCAAACCAGUUGAGUAAAGGCCAUCAUACCCAUUAACAUGGUCUAGUCUCGUGAAAAAUAUUUUUAACUUGCAAACUAGUAGUUUCAUGUUCGAACUCCCAUGACACCUUGAUAGUGUGUGUGAGAAAACCCCCUCCUUAUUCCUACCUUUGGCAACCAAAAAAAAAAAAAAAAAAGUCAUCAGGCCAUCAUAUAAACUCAUCUUGUUGUUUGAUCAUAUAUAUUAAUGUAUUUGAAUUCUUAGAAUAAUAUAUUAAUGUUAAUAUAUUUGAUUAUUUAUCAUUAAACAUAUUUUAUUAUGUAACUAUACAAAACAUAUUUUAUUAUUUACAAGGCAUAUUAGUAAUCAAAUUGAUUUUGAUUCCUAUUACUGAAUACUUAUAUAAGAAUGAUAUAAUAAUUAGUGGGAAAAAAAAAGGGCCUGGUUUCAGACAAAGUACUAAACAUGAGUGGGAAAUAUACUAAACACAAUAACUUCUGUUUACUUAUGUUACUCCAUUAAUAAAAUAAUAUAUUCAUUUGUAGAGGAAAUAGGGAUCAAAUUUCCUAAAACUCUUGCUAUAUAUUUCUGUCCUGAAAGAUUUAAGGAGCCUCAAUUUUGGAUAUUGCAACCACUUGAGACGUUAAUUAAUUAGACUUUAGAGAACGGUUAGGAUUUUGCAACCUCUUUGCAAUUUUGGAUAUUAUAUAUUCUUUCUCUACUUUACCUUAAUGACUCAUAAUUACCAACAAGGACACUAGCACUGUAGCACAGCUUCAAGUUUAAGCCAUGGCAGAGGCGAGGGAGGGGAGAAAGACUUCUAUAUAGUGCUAUUCCUGACCAAUAACGCCGUAAUAUUCGUGAUAAUAUUUCGAUGUGGCAUAACAUUAUUGGUCGAAGGUAACAAAACAAUAUUAUCCCCGUUGUAACUAAGUUUUUCUCUGUGGAGCUACUCUUAUUAUGAAAAUGACGUGAGAGAGAGGGAGGGGGUCAUAUUUUCAGAAUAAUUUUGCUAAAAAACGAAAGUAGAAGAAUUAAUUAUUAUGAAAAUGACGUGUAAUAAAACCACACGUUGCGUGACAUUGCCGUACAUGCAGUCGGUGAGUCCACAGAUGACCAUGCAUUUGUUUUGAGUCGGAUUAAGCAGUGAAUGGGGGCACUAGUUGUCCAUCUUUAUAUGACCCAAUGACUUAAGAUAUCUAUAUGCAUACAGACUUUUAAAAAGUAGAAGCAAUACAGCCUUAGAAAGGCAGUGCGUGCAUGGAAAAAGAUUAUCUGGUCCCAAUUUGCAUAUUUAUUAUUAGGUAAAAUACUUUGAAAAAGCACAAAUCGUCAUAGUUUGUGGACAUGAGAGAUAGAUACUGUGGCUGGAUUGUCAACAAUGACAGUGUGAACGACUUUUCUUUAUACUGAAAUAAGAAGUGAACGUGAAUAUUUCUUUCCUAGUACAAAAGAUUGACAGCUACAAUUUAGCAUUCCUAUUCUGGUUAACCACUGAUUCGUAGGAUCUAGAUACAAGGAGAAUUGUAGGUUCAUCUCCUAUAUAUGUUGCUGUACAUUCAGAAUUGUACAUUAUACAAAUAUAUGAAAUACCAGUUUCUUUACAUGGUACCAGAGCCUCCUUUUUUUUCUUCACCAUAAACAUCAAUGGCACCAGACAACGAUGCCAAACCAGUUGACAGAGAGAAGUCCUCAUCCACAACCGAUAGAGAUGCAUAUGACUCUACCGAUCCCUACUGCAUACACCACUCAGAUCAUCCCGGCAUGAUAUUUUCUUCCAUGCCACUGACUGGUGAUAACUACAGCACUUGGAGUCGUAAAGUAUGAAUUUCCUUGAGUGUGAAAAACAAAACAGGCUUUAUUGAUGGGUCCAUUGUGAAGCCAUCCCUCACCAAAAAACCUAUAGAGUAUCAACGAUGGCAGAGGUGUAACGACAUGAUCUUGUCGUGGAUUCUCAAUUCUUUGGAUCCUGACCUUGCUAAUAGUGUUAUUUAUGCUGAGACAGCUCAUGAAGUUUGGACUGAUUUAAAAGAACGAUAGAGCAACGCUCCUAGGAUUUUUCAGAUUCAAUGCAGCAUAGCGACACAUACGCAAGAUCAGAUGCCUCUGGCAACAUAUUAUUCAAAACUAAAGAGCUAUUGGGACGAACUGGGUUCCUACAAUGAUACAGAAGUUUGCUCCUGUGGAGCAAUUAAAGAAGUCGUUGGCCGAGCGCGAGAAACAACAACGCUUGAUGCAAUUUUUGAUGGGACUAAAUGAAUCCUAUGCAGCGAUCCGAGGGCAGAUUCUCCUUAUGGAGCCCUUGCCAUCAUUUAGAAGGCAUAUUCCCUACUUUCACAGGAAGAGAAACAACGUGAAAUCACCACUACCCAUGCAAAUACAAAAAGCAUGGCCAUGUUAAGUAUCCACAAUAAGAAAGGGGGUUCUUCUAAACCCGCUUAUCAAUUCCGCUCAUAACAAGGACAGAACUCACAACCUCGUUCCUCUUUUCGAGGGAGCCAAAAAGAGACUCGACGUUGCACUCACUGCAAUGGAGAUACUCACACCGUUGAUACUUGCUAUUAUCUCAAAGGGUUCCCUCCAGGACAUAAGUGGCACAACAAAGAAGUCUCUCUGCCUGAUAGAGGAAGCAGUUCACACCAAGGAAACCAAAGGAAGUCACAUGCUGCCAAUAAUGUCCAAAACUCAGAUUCACAAGUUCAUCAUCUCCAGUCCAUCGCGCCCCACCUUACACUAGACCAAUGCCAACAAAUUAUGGGCGCCGUAGGUAAAGAAGAUGUUUCACAAACCCAAGUAAAUUUUGCAGGUCUGUCUCCUUCUUGUCUAUUUUCUCAAAAGCAAUCCAAUUUAUUGCAUGCUUGGGUAAUUGAUAGUGGUGCUACCGACCAUAUCACUAAUUCACAUGACUUUCUAAUUGACACAUCUCCAUCCUCCAUGUCCCCAGUAGGAUUGCCCACAGGGGCUAAGGCACCCAUAAAAUCCACUGGCAAAAUCACUUUUGAUGGAAAUUUGUGUCUAACUGAUGUUCUUUGUGUUCCAUCCUUUAAUGUUAAUUUGAUGUCAGUUCCCAAACUCACAGAGUCACUUAAUUGUUGUGUUGUGUUCUUUCCCAAUUUUUGUUAUACACAGGACUUGGUUAAGAAGAAGAUGAUUGGAUUGGGUAGGCGGCAUGGCAACCUAUACUAUUUUGAUCCAAACUAUAUUUCUCAUAAGCCACCAUCCUCCUCACACCAUGUGUUAUCUCGAUAAAAUCUUUGGCACUUGCGGCUAGGACAUCCAUCAGAUGCCCGCCUUCUUAUCUUGGCUCAACAUGAAUCUGAUAUUUUCUUUUCCCAGCACUCCUGUGAUUUUUUCCCAUUGGCUAAACAAACUAGACUUCCAUUUACUUUAAGUUCCAUUUCAAGUAUUGAUUCUUUUGAUUUUAUUCAUUGUGACUAUUGUUGGGGCAAGAUAUUUUUUGACUAUUGUUGACGAUUAUACAAGGUGCACAUGGGUUUAUUUAAUGCCAUAUAAAUCUGAUACUCAAGGUCUUCUUAAAUCCUUCUUCGCCUUUGUUUAUACUCAAUUUAACAAAACAAUAAAGGCUAUUCGUGUAGAUGAUGGUGGUGAGUUUUCUUCUCUAAAAACGUUUUUUUGCAGAUCUUGGUGUGGUUUACCAACAUUCCUACGUCUCAACACCUCAAUAAAAUGGGAUUGUGGAACGUAAACACCAACACCUUCUAGAGAUGGCUCGAGCCUUGCGAUUCCAUGCACAUCUCCCUCUUAAUUUAUGGGGAGAAUGCGUACUCACUGUUGUAUAUCUGAUUAAUCGUCUCCCCACUCCACUUUUAACUGGUAAAACUCCCAAUGAGCUUUUAUUUAACCAUCCACCCAUUUAUAAACAUCUUCGUGUUUUUGGUUGUCUUUGUUAUGCAACUAAUUUACACCCUUCUCAUAAAUUUGAUAAACGGGCACGUAAAUGUAUUUUCGUGGGUUAUCCUUUUGGUCAAAAGGCUUAUCGUGUUUAUGACUUAGAGACCAAAAAGUUUUUCAGUAGCUGGGAUGUUAUUUUUCAUGAAAAUGUCUUUCCUUUUGCUAAUCAACAUGAUGUACCCACUAUCCCUGUCUUGCCUUUAACCCAAUGAUUAUGAUUAUGUGCCUGUCCACAUAUCAGACCCACUACCCACUUCAUCUUCCAAGCCAAAUCCACCAACCAAUCUAGAUAUGCAUCCACCUAGCCCAAACACACACUCUGGCACACCUACACCACCUCUUCCAAAUACACCACCACCUAGUCCACGCACACAAUCUAGUCCAAAUACACACACCCAAUUUAGCCCCAACACGCAAUCUAAUAUAUCCCCUCAACCUAGUCCACCACUAAGUCCAUCACAUGAUACACACCCACCACCAUCGCUUCGACAUUCUGAAUGCCUAAAACAACCUUCAGUGCUCCUACGUGACUACCACUGUUACACCGCCAUGUCUCUCUACUCUAAUUCGUCAUCUUCUUCAAAUACAAAAGGUAAGGGCACCCGAUACCCUAUUUCCCAAUUUCUUAAUUAUCAUAAUUUGUCAUCCACUCACAAAUCUUUUGUAGCUUCCAUCUCUCGAGUUGUUAAGCCAACUACUUUUGCCCAAGCUUCGACUGACCCUCUUUGGCAAGAAGCCAUGGACAAGGAAAUUCAAGCUCUUGAGCAAAAUAAUACUUGGUCCAUAACACCUUUACCUGCAGGAAAACACCCAAUUGGCUGUAACUGUCCAAAGUCAAAUAUAAUUCUGACGGUUCCGUUGAGCACUACAAAGCUCGUCUCGUGGCCAAGGGAUAUACCCAACAGGAAUGCUUAGACUACACGGAGACAUUCUCUCCCACAGCUAAAUUGGUCACUUUCCGAUGCUUGCUUGCUCUUGCCGCUGUACGCAAUUGGCCCCUCCACCAAUUAGACGUCCAAAAUGCUUUUCUUUAUGGAGAUUUAGACAAAGAAGUCUACAUGCUUCCUCUACCCGGCCUUUGCCGACAAGGGGAGCACUUGGUUUGUCGGCUACACAAAUCAUUAUACAGGUUGAAGCAAGCACCACGAAAUUGGUUUGCCAAGUUCACCAAUGCCCUUCAAGAUGCCGGAUUUGUCCAUCCCUAGCAGAAUAUUCACUUUUCACAAGGUAUCACGAUAAUUCAUUUACCAUUAUAUUAAUUUAUGUAGAUGAUAUUGUCAUUAUAGGGAAUGAUCCUAAGGCAAUUCAGUCUCUUAAGGAUUUACUCCAUGCUCGCUUCCGCAUAAAAGACCUUGGAAAUCUUAAAUAUUUUUUGGGAAUUGAAGUAGCAAGAUCAAAGAAGGGAAUUUUCAUCUCUCAACGCAAGCACACACUGGAUAUACUUGACAACGCUGGACUUUUGGGUGCUCGCCCUUAUUCCUUUCCCAUGGAGCAGACGCUUAGACUCAACCCUACUGAUGGCAACCACUACAAGAUCCUACCAGAUGCAGGCGAUUAGUAGGUCGCCUCAUUUAUCUCACAGUAACAAGGCCAAAUCUCUCAUUUGCUGUCCAUGUGCUUAGUCGUUUCAUGCAUGAGCCGCACCAACCUCAUCUAGAUGCAGCUCUUCGUGUACUACAUUAUUUGAAAGGCUCUCCAGGAUAAGGCAUUUUAUUCCCUACUACAAACAACCUAAAGUUAAAGGCAUUUUGUGACUCAUGUUGGGCAAGUUGUCCAACUACCAAGAGAUCUGUCACAGGUUAUUGUACUUUCCUUGGUGAUUCUUUGAUUUCUUAGAAAAUCAAAAAAUAAAAUACCGUGGCACGUUUCUCUACAGAAGCAGAAAACCGAGCUAUGGCAGAUGCGUGUUGUGAGCUCACAUGGUUACGUUACAUCCUCAAAGACUUGGGCAUUCAACAUUCAGAACCAGCAGUAUUGCAUUGUGAUAAUCAAUCAGCCCUUUAUAUUGCAAAGAAUCCAGUAUUUCACGAGUGAACGAAGCAUAUUGAUCUUGAUUGUCACUUGGUGAGACAAAACAUUCAAUCAAGCUUGGUGUCUACUGCCUACACGCCAACAAAGAUGCAGAUUGCUGAUAUAUUUACUAAACCCUUGGGCAAGGUUCCUUUUGGCUCACUAUUAGGCAAGUUGGGAGUAUACAACAUACACUCUCUAACUUGAAGGGGCAUAUUGAAAUAAGAGGUCAACGUGAAUAUUUUUUUGCUAGUAUAAAAGAUUGACAGCUACAAUUUAGCAUUCCUAUUCUGGUUAACCACUGAUUUGUAGGAUCUAGAUACAAGGAGAAUUGUAGGUUCAUCUCCUAUAUAUGUUGCUGUACCUUCAGAAUUGUACAUUGUACAAAUAUAUGAAAUACCAGUUUCUUUACACUUCAUGGUGUGCUUUAGCUACAUCUUCUACCCUUCUGCGUUGGUCACAUUCAUGUAAUCUUGUACAUGAAGCAACGUACCACAAAGGCUACCAAAAAUUUAAUGACUGUGGACCAGAAGGAAGCAGUAUAUAGGUCCUACUACCUGUGCAUUUCUUGACUAAUAGUUUGAUGCUUAAGGUAAAUCCAAUACAGUUAGUGUAAAUGUCCUUUUACUAUAUAAUUAGGUAUAUCCAAUACAAAAUAAAUCUUUAAUCUUGAACAUAUUUAUAUAGGGGAUUCUAUGACUCACAAAGAAAACCUACGGAUAUAUUUGUGUUUAUGUUUGAUCUCAUUUUCUCUUUUGUAAUUCCAUCUACUUUUCAUAAGAAUUUGUUUGAAACAACUUAUAUAUAAAAACUACCCUUGUUUUUAGAUGAUUAUUGUGGUAGGAUAAAAUCAACAAAAUAGACAAACACGGUAUUUCAAGAAAAGACUAUAAUAACAACUAUCUAAUUGAAUGAUCAAAUGGUUUCGGAUCCAAGUGAUUGUCGCAGAGAUGAUCUUUGAAGAAAUAUCUAAAAACUAGAUGGUAUUGGAUUAUUGAAAUGCAUGGUGAGUCUUAUAAGGGUGUCCUUCAAAUAAGCUUAUUUGAGAAAUCCCUCAACUAAAGCCAUAUCAGUCUCUUUCUCACAAUAUAUAUAUAUAUAUAUAUAUAUACACACCAUACCUUUUGUGAAAAUCUAAAAAUGCUAAAUUAGGAAUGAUAACUGAUAGUUAAAGAACUCUCGUGAUCACUCUACAAGAUUGUGACCUAAAUGAUGAAUCAGCAGCUUAAGUUUCACCCCAUUUGCCACAUACCAUCAAAGUAGGGGUUGACUUUGGCGUUCUUUAGCCUUUAAUCACCACAAGAGUCACAAAUUCUUCUCUUCUCUCUCCUUAUCUUUCCAACCCCACUGAUAUCUCAGAAAGGUCUAUAAAUAGGGAGAACCAAGCCACAUUAUACUCACUCAGCAAUCAUCUCUUGCAUACUUUCAUAUAUACAUUAUCGUGCUUGUUGUUAAGCAAAAGAUGGCAUCCUCAAAGGCUUGUCUUCUUCUUGGUCUUGUCUUUGCUGUUCUCUGUUGACGUGGGUCUCCUAAUUAAUCAAGGAGAUCUACUUCCUUGAUUAAUUAAGGGAUUUACUUUUUUAUUUUUUAUAUAGUUGAUAAAUUAUUGUAUAAUUAGGAGAUACUUUCCUAAUUCUUUACUGUAUAUAAUUUCUUCAAACACAAACCCUAAACCCUCAUAUCAAAUUUCGUCACACCCAAACCCUAAAUCAAAUUCCUCAUAUUUACAGCUUCAGAUUCGGAUCUUCAUACCCGAAUCCUCAUAUCCUCUUAUCACAAAACCCUAAACUCAUAUUUUUUUCUCUUAUCAGAAAACCCUAAACACAUAUUUUUCCUCUUCUCUUAAAUCCUUCCGCUACCAUGAAUAUCGUCUCAUCUUCCCAAACCACUGCCUCCACUUCCCCAUCCUCCACAAUUGCCACAACAAGUUCCCAUGGUUAUGUUUUGACAGGACCCGCCUCGAAUUUCCCAAACCCGAGACAAAUCUUGUGGAAAUUCCGACAUCACCCCAAUGUCGGACCCAAUCACUAAAACUAAAGCGUCCUGUCCCAAAAAGGAAUAAGGGCACGACACUUUCUACCGAAAUUUCGGCAGCCUCCCCUGUAAAUUGAACAUUCCCCAAAUUUCAACCUGCACAAAAACACAUUUAAUAUCCCAACAGGCAGCACUCACAAGAUAAUUUCAUGCAAUUCACAAACUCGGCCUUCGGCCUUUACAAAAACCGAAGUGAAACCAAACAACCCACAAAGCCCUUAAGCAAAAUAUUGCCUUCCGCAAGGCAAUUAAUAAACUCAAAUAUGAAUUAUGAAUACCAAACACAACUUACAUCAUCUACCUUUCCAAUUCUAACAUACGAGGUUUUAACCUCCUAACACAAUCACAUUUAUGUCUGCGGCUGCACCUAAUAACCUUAGGCUGCCUACAUACCCUCACUGAGGGAUCAAGCCAGACGUAGUUCUUUCUACUAAAUCCCGAUUUCCAAACACAGACAAUACCUUUAUUCAUCUCUCUGUUAAUCACAUAAUCUCCCCAUAUGCCGAAACUACCAACGCCACGUAUGGGGUCUGUCAACACGCCGGAUAACUUACGCCACGUGUGACCUCAACUUAUUAUUACCAUAUCUCCUCAUACGCCGGAUCUACCAACGCCACGUAUGGAGCCUGUCCGCACGCCGAAUAACCUACGUCACACGGGACCUCACAAUCAUAUCACAUAAUCUCCCCAUACGCCGGAUCUACCAACACCACGUAUGGGGUCUGUCAACACGCCGCAUAACCUACGCCAUGUGCGACCUCAACGUAUUAUUACAAUAUCUCCCCAUACGCCGGAUCUACCAACACCACGUAUGAGGCCUGUCCGCACGCCGGAUAACCUACGCCAUGUGGGACCUCACAAUCAUAUCACAUAAUCUCCGCACACGCCGAAUCUACCAACACCACAUAUGAGGUCUGUCAACAUGCUGGAUAACCUACGCCACGUGCGACCUUAACAUAUUAUUACAAUAUCUCCCCAUACGCCAGAUCUACCAACACCAUGUAUGGGGCCUGUCCCUAGGGUCAUUUAAAUCCUCCUGGGAAGGUGAGACUCCCCCGGAAGACUCACGGUCAACCAAGGGUCAAACUACCCCAAACUUGGUCAAACGGGCCCACUAGGCCCACAACCUCCAAAUUCCGAUCCAAAAGUUCCUAUAGGUUCUACAAUGUUUAGGACACUCAUCCUGCAAGUUUGGUCCGGAUUGGAUGGUCGGAUCGCUCACGAUCGCACGAUCCGACGGUUAUUAUAAAACAUAAACUUUAAGUUAUUAAAUCGGAACAUCCGAGGCUCCGAUUCAAGAUCCGUGAAUUCUUACACGAGCCUAGAAAUGACUAGAUUAACAUAUAAUAAAUUCAAGACCAUCCAACGGUCCAAACCUAUCGAACCCGGAUAACGCGCAAUAGGCGAUAUCCGUUCGAGACUCAAACGGUAUUUGAAUUCAAAUCCGAGCAUACCGUCAUGCUCGAGACGACAAGAGGGUUAUUUUAGAACUUUAAGACAUGCCACCACAUGGCCCACGCGCCACCCCACGCGCCGGCAGCGCGUAGGUGUCCAAAGAAAUUUUCGGCUGCUGAAAAAACUCCAAACCGCCGGCCAAGACUCCCAAGUUAGGUAAAUCAAAUGUAGUGGAGCAACUUUUGUUCUUGGACCUACCCCAAAAAGUGACCGGAAGUGGCCGGAAUCGGAGGCCGAAAACCGGCCAAACUUCCAUCGCUUAAUCGACCUUCAAAACGUAGAAAUCUCUCGAAUCUAACACAACAGGCAGCAAGAACAGCUCGAGAAGUUGAGAAAGCAUACCUGGAUCGACGAAAAUGGUGGCCGGAGGAUUCCAAACGAGCUCCGUAAAUUUUGGGUUAAAAUCGGUCGGAUUUUUGCAUUUUCUGGCGAUCACAGGUGGUUCCAGCGGCCGAGAUUGGUCGGGAUGGAAAGAGGGAGAACGCCCGGUUCUUUUCGAAUCGGUGCCACCCCAAACGGUGGCCGGUUGCGACAGUGGUGGCCCAAAAACCUUGGCGGUGAAUAGUAACAGAAGGGCUGUUUCUUGCGAAGGGAGAGGGAGGAAGAAGGAGAAAAAAUAAAAUUUAAAACUGCCCGGGUACUGUAGUAAAAUUUUAAAAUUACCUUUUCAUCCUUUUCGUUUUUAGACUUUUCCUCCUUCGUUACAACUCGAAAUUGGGCAUGCCGCAUGUCUACAAAUUCGUAUCGACGAGCUCUACGUAACGGUGCCACUUACUUCUCCAAAAUCUUUCCGAAUCAAAAAAUAACCAAAAUACCCUUACCCAAAGGGUAUAUUCGUAAAUUCAUAUUUAAAUUAAUUUAAUAAUUUAAUUGAGUAACCAAAUUAGGGUCGGGGUGUUACAUGUUUUGCAUAGUUCUUCAAAGAAACACAUAUGGGUCAUUGACACCGGAGCCACUGAUCACAUAACCUUUGAUCCUGGAUAAAUUACCUCUCAUACCCCGUCUUCUUAAUUGGUGGUGUCUAAUGCCAAUGGUAACCCCUCCCCAGUAAUUGGGGAGGGUUCCCUCUCUCUCUCUCUCUGACUCCCUCACUUUGGAUUCUUUAUUUAUUGUUCCAUCCUUACAUCAUAAUUUCUUAUCUGUUGCCCAAAUUACUACGGCUUUGAAUUGCAUUGUAACCUUUUGGCCUACUCAUUGGGUUUUUCAAGACAUUCUCAACAGCAAGACGAUUGGUUGUGGUACUAGGAUGGGCAGACUCUAAUAUCUGGACUUGGCAUCUGACAGUGAAGCCAGCCUCAGUCACUCUUACAAAAUUGGGGGUACGAGUGUUGAGAAGCAAACUUCCGAAGUAUGGUUAUGGCAUCGCCGACUUGGACAUGCUUCGUUUGGAUAUUUACAAAAGCUAUUUUCUUCCUUAUUUUCCCAGUUAGAUAUCUCCAGUUUUACGUGUGACAUCUGUGAAAUAGCCAAGAGCCAUCGUGUUCCUUUCCCCUUAAGUUCACAUAAAAGUUUGGUUCCUUUUUCUCUUGUUCAUUAUGAUGUUUGGGGCCCGCUAAAAUUACCACUCUCGGGGGAGCUAGAUGGUUUGUCACAUUUAUCGAUGAUUGCACACGUAUGACCUGGGUUUCCCUUCGCCAAACAAAAGGGGAAGUCAAUUCCAAGUUUCAACAGUUCUAUCACAUGGUGGAGACACAAUUUCAUACAAGAAUUCAAGUUCUUCAGUCUGAUAAUGGCAGAGAAUUUCUCUACCAUGAUCUUACUCAGUUCUUACAAGAUCAUGACAUUAUACAUCAACGCUCAUGCCCUUACACUCCUCAACAGAAUGGUGUGGCUGAACGAAAGAAUAAACACUUAUUGAAAAUGGUUCGUGCCUCUCUCUUUGGUGCCAAUAUGCCUCGGUCCUUUUGGGGAGAAGUCGUCUUCUUUGCAGCAUACCUUAUCAAUCGGAUUCCCUCCAGUAUCCUUAAUUUCCAAACCCCCCUUCAAACACUCUACAACCAUAUCUAAAUACCUCUUGCCAAAAACCUAAAACCACGGAUUUUUGGCUAUGUGGUCUUUGUCCCCUUACAUGAUCACUAAAGCAGCAAAUUGGAUCCCCGUGCUGAAAAGUGUGUUUUUAUUGGUUAUGCACCUCAUCAGAAAGGUUACGGGUGUUAUCAUCCUCCUAGUCAGAAGGUCUACACUUCUAUGGCUGUUGUGUUCCAAGAGCACGACAUAUAUUUUUCAGCCGUACAUGAGGAGCAUUGCGAUGCCAAACAUCUCAAAUUUCAAGACUUUUUCCUUCAUAAUUGUCACUUACUGAAAACCAUCGGUCGUAGAAUGCAAGCGACAGGUAGCCGGAGACUGUGCCUAAGAACGACCGGUCGCAGCCUAAGACUCUGCCUGAAAGCGACCGGUCGUCCCCCAGAAAUCCGAAUCUGCUUCAAAACGACAGUCGUCUCCCUGCUGUCAAACUUAGGAGAACAUUGAGGAGUUUUUGAGCGCUCAGGAAAAUUCUUCAACUCCAGUAUCCCACCAAUCACCUGCUGAGGACGUCAUUCAGGUAACCUCUUUUCUUGAAACUGAUAACAUUAAUGAAAUAUCCCAUGAUGAUUUAAUUUCAGAAUGCAUAGAGCCUGCAUAUCAGAUUCCAAGAUGGAAGAACGUGGAAAACCUCCAGUUCACUACGAAGCAGACCUUAAUGGAAAAUGAAAAUAUCCCAUCAACAAUUAUGUAUCCAUCAGCAGAUUAUCAGAAUUAUGGGUACACUUUGUGAAGCAGUUGGAUGACAUACCUAUUCCCAACAAUGUAACUGAAGCACUAGAAGACUCAAAAUGGAAAGAAGCCAUGAAUGAAGAAAUGCGAGCUCUCCAGAAGAAUGGCACAUGGGAACUCGUGCCAUUACCUCAUGGAAAGAAGACUGUCGGAUGCAGGUGGAUUUAUAUUGUGAAACUCAUAGCAGAUGGAUCCAUUGAAAGAUAUAAAGCUAGAUUGGUGGCGAAGGGGUGCACAUCAAGAUAUGAGAUAGACCACCAUUAGACUUUUGCCCCAGUAGCCAAGAUUAAAACUAUCAGAGUUCUUCUAUCUCUAGCAACAAAUCUCGAUUGGCCAUUACAUCAGUUUGAUAUAAAAAAAUGCAUUCUUACAUGGAGACUUGAAAGAAUAAGUAUAUAUGGACUUGCCACCAGGAUGUAACUUAGCUCGCGACAAGGAGAAUCAAGUUUGCAAGCUGAGAAAGUCAUUGUAUGGGUUAAAGCAAUCCCCCAGGGCAUGGUUUGGUAGAUUCACUAAAUCUAUGAAGAAUUUUGGAUAUAUACAGAGUAAUGCAGAUCACACCUUGUUUCUAAAGCGUGAUGGAAGAGGACUUACUGCACUGAUUGUUUAUGUGGAUGACAUAGUCGUAACUGGAAACGACAUAGAAGAGCAAUUAAAACUGCAUAAAUAUCUAUCUCAGGAAUUUGAGAUGAAGAAUCUAGGUGAUAUGAAGUACUUUCUAGGAAUUGAAGUAGCCAGGUCCACAACUGGUAUAUUUCUGUCUUAAAGGAAGUAUGUAUUAAAUCUCCUCACUGAAAUAGGAAUGCUUGGAUACAAACCUGCUAAUACACCCAUCGAGAUGAUUCACAAGUUAUGUGAAGACAUGGAUCAAGAACCAACCAAUAAGGAACAGUACCAACACCUUGUUGGAAGAUUGAUAUAUUUAGCUCACACAAGACCAGAUAUUGCAUAUUCUGUGAGUGUGGUUAGUCUGUUUAUGCAUUCACCCAGUGUGUCCCAUAGGAAUGCAGUUGAUCGGAUCUUAAGAUACUUAAAGUCAGCACAUGGAAGAGGGUUAACGUUCUAAAAAAAAUAGAGAUCUCGAAGUUGUAAUGCUGAUUGGGCUGGCUCCAUUACUGACAGACGCUUUACUUCAGGUUACUUCACUUUUGUGGGAGGUAACCUAGUCACUUGGCGGAGUAAAAAACAAAAUGUGGUUUCUCGAUCUAGUGCUGAAGCAGAGUAUCGAGGAAUGGCUCACGAAGUUUUGGAAUUACUAUGGAUCAGAAGACUAUUGACAGAAUUGGGGUUCAAGACAGAAAAGUCAAUAGAGUUACAUUGUGAUAACAAGUCACCCAUCGAUAUUGCCCAUAAUCCAGUUCAACAUUAUUGAACUAAACAUGUUGAGAUGGAUAGACAUUUUAUCAAAAAAAAAAACUUGAGAAAAAGAUCAUCCGCCUACCAUUGGUAAAAUCAGAAGAUUAGUUGGCAGAUAUCUUAACCAAAGCUGUUUGUGCAAGAGUAUUUUAUGACUCACGUACCAAGUUGGGCAUUUGUGACAUAUAUGCACCAACUUGAGGAGGAGUGUUGACGUGAGUCUCCUAAUUAAUCAAGGAGGUUUACUUCCUUGAUUAAUUAAGGGAUUUAUUUUCCUAUUUUUUAUAUAGUUGAUAAAUCAUUGUAUAAUUAGAAGAUACUUGCCUAAUUCUUUACUGUAUCUAAUUCCUUGUAUAGCACCAUGUAAACUCUUAAAUAUACCUCAUUAUGGAGAAGAAUAAAGUUAACCUAAUGCAUUCAAACCAUAUUCAUAUUUUAGCAUUCUCCUCAUCUCCUCUAAGGUCUCAACUACUCCAACUCGUGAGUUUCUCACUUUCUUAACUAAAUCAUAUAUAUUAAAUUAGUAAUUGUAUCUUUCUUUCCAGUAACGAUUUGUGAAUUUAGGCACAUUUUAAUUAUAAGGUGCACUGUCAUGAAAAUGAUUAUGCUUCGAACUCUUUUUUGCAUGAAGGGCUAGUGGUUGCACCUGCAUGGCUUAAUUUGCACCUUAUUAAAUACAAACCUAGCUAUGAUUGUUAUAAGUUAUGUAUAUUGUUUUUGCUUUAUAUAUAAAGUUUUUGUUUAGACAACUUGUAAUUUAAAUUGAUGGCCCCUUUAAAAAUAAUUAGGCAUGACUAAUUUUGAAAAUUUUAGCUCUAACAUGUGUUUUGAACACUUAUAUGUAUUUGAUAUACUUGUGUUUUUUAUUUUGGCCCCCUCAAUCUGAAAAUUCUAGCUCCGCCCGGUGAUGAUUUUCUAGAUGACCAUGGUGACGGACGUGGAGGGUAUGGCCACGGACAUGGAGGGUAUGGCCAUGGCCACCACGGCAAAGGGGGGCCUUGUGCUGCUGAGACUGAAACCAAGAAUUAGAUAACCUGUUAGUUUGUGACUUACGUUGCAGGUGUGUUGUAAGGGUUGUGGUACAAAAUAAAGUUGUUUGGUUGAGUAAUCUAUAUGAACUCUCAAUCAUAGACUCUUCUUAAGCUUGUUCUCGUGUUCUCUGUAAUGUACGCAUUGGAAUGUGUUCUCUUGUUAUGUGAUAAAAUGUGAUUUAACUUGCUCAAUACAUAUUAUGUCAAAAAUGUUUAGUAUGGCUUGGCUCCUUAAAAUUGAGAGGGAGCACAUCCUCACAACAAACGAGAUUUUGGCACUAGUUAAAC
rnacentral:lncRNA from 1 species